rnacentral:lncRNA from 1 species
GAGUGGCGCGAGUGGAUUUCAGACGAAGGCAGCCGGGAAGCCUUCCCUCUUCUAGAGGAGCUUUUAAUCGAAGAAUGCCCGAACCUUGCAAAGGCCCUACCUUGUCACCACCUUCCACGUGUAACAAGUCUUACAAUCGGUGGAUGUGAGCAGCUCGCGACUCCACUUCCUAGGUUUCCUGGGUUGCUCUCUCUCAUUGUUUUUGAUUUGCACUCCCUAGAGUCCCUACCCGAGGAAAUUGAUCAAAUGGGUUGUUCACCCUCUGAUUUAGGGAAAAUUAUAAUCCACCGCUGCGCUUCUCUCAAAGGCGUCGCACUGGACUUGCUCCCCAAGUUAAAUUUUCUUCGUAUUCUUGACUGUCCAGAUCUGGAAUCACUAUGUGCAAAUGAAAGACCUCUCAAUGAUCUCACCUCUCUCCAUUCUUUGGAAAUCGAGGGGUGCCCUAAAUUAGUUUCAUUUCCCAAAGGAGGGUUACCUGCUCCAGUCUUGACACAACUUGAUUUAUAUGAUUGCAAAAACUUGAAGCAGUUGCCUGAGAGUAUGCCUUCCCUCCUCCCAUCCCUUAACCGUUUGGGAAUAUAUGGUUGUUCAGAAGUUGAGUUGUGUCCAGAAGGGGUUUUCCCUCCACAUUACAAUUACUUUGGAUUCGUAAUUGCAACAAACUCAUUGCAGGCCGCAUGCAAUGGGGCUUGCUAACGCUCCCUUCUCUUUCACACUUCGAAAUUGGAAUGGACGAAAAUGUUGAAUCCUUCCCUGAAGAGAUGGUGCUGCCCUCAAAUCUUACAUCUCUUAGCAUCUAUGACCUCCAACACCUGAAAUCUCUUGACUACAAGGGGCUUCAACACCUCACCUCCCUUACACGUUUGAGAAUAAGUCGCUGCCCUCGGAUUGAGUCAAUGCCAGAAGAAGGGUUGCCCUCCUCCCUUUCUACUCUUGCAAUUUACAGGUGUCCUAUGCUGGGUGAAAGUUGUGAAAGGGAGAAAGGUAAAGAUUGGCCCAAGAUUUCUCACAUUCCUUACAUAAAUAUUUCCCAAGAUUAAAAGAAGGUUUUCUUUCAAUCGUCCAACAUAUUGAGGUAUUGCUACUAAAUAGUUUAUUUUCCUUUCAGUAAUCAAAGGCAAUUUCAGUUAAAAUUUGGAUGAAUGAAAUACAGAUAUUGUCCAUUUUGUCUGUUUUUAUUUGUUAAAUGUUGAAAUACAGAUAUUUUCUUCCUAUUGUCUCUCAUUCAUCUUCAUAUAUAAUAAUCAUUCUAUUGCAAUAUCUUUUUUGCUAUAAUUAAUGCUACUAUCAAAUGCGGCAAAUGCGGCAAAUAAACAUCACAUGCUUCAGAUUUUGAACUGCCAGCGCCACCCUUAAAAGACAACAGAUUUUUCACAAAAACUGACAAUGGCAAGGGCAGUAAUGGACUCGUUAAUCCAUCGAUGCUUCUCGAGAAGAUGACCAAUCAGAAUGCAAGCACAAAGGAGUGCCACAAACAAGGUAAUUGAAUGGAUUGGGGCUUGAUCAGGUUCCAUACCAUCCUCAAACCGAAAUUCAUCGUAUCAGAAUUGGACCCAACCCUAUAACUAUACAAGGAAAACGAAAACAAAAACAAAAACUGUCAAACAAACUGAAAUCAAUCAAAUUCAAGGUGAUCGAUCACGCAAUUAAUACACAGAGUAACUAGGGUUCCAAAUUACUUCUACAAAAGAAAUUAAUAAAAAAAAUGAAGUGAGAACCUAGAAAGACUCCUUCUCUGAUCUUUUUAGUUUUUACCUUGCAGUUGCAGCCUUGAGAUUCUCUUCAGAUAAAAAGGAAAAGGAAAGCGUUUGGAAUAAUAUAUAUAUAUUUGGUUCGAAGAAAGAGGGAGAGAAAACUUAAAAGCCAAGCAAGAGAAUAUGUUGUCCUUUCUGAGAGAAAGCCAAGUGUGAGGAGUGGAAUGGAGACGACGUCAACGUGUGUGGGCGUGUGUUCGCCUGGAGAGAACGAUUUUAAGUAUAUAUUCCCCCACUUCUGCUGCUGCUGCAUCUGACUAAACGAGAGAUAACCCGGAUUUAUUUGAUUUUGACUUGGAGAGACAGUUUGGCCGUUUGGGGGAUGGAGGGAAUCUUAAUGCAAGCAAAAACCGCGAAACUGCUUCCCUUCCUUUAUUUAUUUAUUCCUUUAUUCAUAUCACGUGAUUUCGAGGGUUCCACACAGGAUAUCACGUGAUUUCAAGGGUGCCGGAAUGUCUUUAAAAAGAUUGUUUUUUAAAAGUAUUUUUAAAAAACAAUAUAUUAAAAAUAAUUAUUUUCAACAUUGAUAAAUUAAAAUGAUAAAAAAAAACAUCAAAAAAUAAUUUUAAAUAAAAAAAUAAACUUUUGUGAAACGUUUUUUUGUACCUUGUCCCUAAACCUCAAUUUUCAUUGCCUAGCAGAGCUGAAAAGGAUUAAAAAAUAUUUAAGUAAUCUGCAACAGAUUUUUCAUUGUUGACGCGGCAAAAUCAAAAUUCAAAAUUUAAGUAAUCAAAAGGAUUAAAAUCUCCAUUCUCUCCUUUUCUCCUUUUCCGCAUCUCCAAAAAUUCAAAAAAUUUUCCCCACCUCUUUCUCUACAAAAAUUCAAAAUCCAAAAACUUUUGAUUUAUCUAUUUUAUUAUUACUUAACUUUGAUUAAAAAACUUUUCUUGAAGUUUACUUUCACCAAAGAUCUUUUAUAGAUAUAAAAAGAAGAGAUAAUAUAAAACAAGUAGAUACGUAGCUAUAUUAACAACAAUACUUCAAGCAUGCACAAAUGCGACUUCUUGAUGGUUACGCUGCUAAAGACAUUUACAAAUCCCCAUCAAUACUGGUGUUUAUUCCUCAUGAUGAUCCAGUGAGCUGACAAUAAAAGAAAACCUCGGCAUUACAAGUAAAUCGAUCGUCACUGCAAGCAUAAUGCAAGCAUGGAAGAGAUUCGGGUAGGAAUUACCCUUGUCUUCAUUGAGAGGCUUUAACCUCCCUAGCUCCUUCAUCAGCAGGCCCAUUGUUUGAUGCAUCCUCUGAAGCGUCUAAGCAAGGAUUGCUUUUACACUAACUUACAGUGUCACGACCCGAAUCCCGGAUCCAUGACCGGCACAUAGACAAGGUUCUCAUCCAAGGUUCCAUACCUAUACGAACCCAAACUUACACACAAACUUAUCCUAACUCAAUCAGAGUUCAACGCAGCAUUAAUAACAAAAUCAACUUCAUAAUAUAAUUGAAUUGUCUUAAUACAAGAGUUCAUAUAAUUCAUAGUUUUGGAGCACUAACUUGACAAAAAAAAAAGGUACAAAUUACAACCAAAAAGCAGGUUUGGAAGGUUCAACAAAAGUAACCUGCUAUCAAGCAAUAAGCCUGAAAAGAAUAAUAAUGAGAGGGUGAGUUCAACAACUCAGUGAGUAGAUAGCGUUCAAAAUACACACACGAGGUAAUACAGUAAUGAGAAAUAUAUAUACAAGUAUGACUCUAGGUUCUUAUAGAAAUGUUUCUCAAAUAGGCCAUAACAAGAAUAUCAUAUGGUAAAACUCGUCAGAAAAUCAAAAUGCAAUGAGCAUGAGGCUCCGUACUGUGGGAUGAUCAGUCCACACAGGUUGGUGACUCCCCCGACCAACUAAGGUUCAGAUACGAUGUGCACAAAGACUAACACUACCCUGUUAGCAUGGGUAUUCUGACUGACAUACCAUAGGUUCAUAAUCAUAAUCAAACAGACAUAUUCAUAUCUCAAAGCUCAACUCAUGACAUCAAUCAAAUGAGGAGCUAUCAAUUCAGAAGUCAAUUCAGAAUAUAUAUACUGGUUCAUAUCAAUAAUUCGGAUUCAACAAUUGAUCAUGCUUAUCAUAACAAGGAUAAUAAUCAACAUAUAUAUUAUCAAGAAGCAUGAUCCAAUUCAUAUUAACAAAUCAAAUAUUUAUAAUAUUUCUCAUGCAUAUGGAAAAUUAUCCACUCACCUGACUAGAAAGCAAACAGAAGUAAAAAUAAGACACCGAAGAAAAUCCUACUGACGUCCCGCCGAUAGAAUAUCAGGAUUAUCUGAAUACAAAGGAGGCAUAUUCAAGAACGACUCGAAAGAAUAUUUAACUUAUUUAAUACACUUAACUAGGUGUAUUCCGUAAUCCUAUAUGUUUUUGAACUAACUAGUCAAUUUUCUCAAAAACCCAAAACUCUAACGGUUUUUCCGAAAUCUAAUCCAUAACAAAACAAAUAAUAAAAUUGGUAAUAAUUUACUAAAUAACCCUCAAUUAUUCAUCAAACCAAUCUGAAAAAGGUAAUAUUACAGCUAGGGACUAAUCUGUAAUUUAUCAUAUUUUUAAGGCCAAAUUGUAAUUUUCGUCUAAUUAGAGGACCAAACUAAACAUAUCAUAAAUUCAUGAAUAUAGUGGAAUUAUGUCCAUAAUUCAUCCUCAUUUCUGUCCAGAUCAUCUCAUUAUACUCCAGGGACCAUUCUGGAAUUUUACCAAAUUUUUAGGGUCAAAUUGUAAUUUUUGUCAAAUUGGAGGACCAAAUUGAAAGUGUUAAAUUCUCUUAUCUAUACAGUAAUUCUGUCCAUAAUUCAUAUGUUAUUCUGUUCAGAAUACCGGAAUAUGCUCCAGGGACCAAUUUGUAAUUUUCCAAAGUUCAGGACUAAACUGUAAUUUUCGCAAAUUGAGGGACCAAAUUGAAUUUUCGUCAUCUUCAACCUCCAAUCCAGAAUUUUAACAGAAACCUACUGUUCUCCCCUGAUUUUUAACUCAAAAUUCACCAUUCAAACAAAAUUAUAACUCAAAAUCAUCACAAUCUUCCAUAAUCAACUAAAUCAUCAAUUAACCACAACAAUCAACCCCUAACAUUCAAUUUAAUUCAUCAGUUAAACUCAAAACACAAAUUUCAUAACCCUAACAUUUAUCAAAACCGAAAUUAAAGCUAAAGAAAACAUAUUAUACACAUUAAAGCAUAAUCUUACCCCUUUUUACUUAUUUCCUCCAACUCCUUUUCUUUUUCCCUUAUUUUCCUCUCUUUUCUCUUCUUCUUCUUUCUCACUUCACUCCUGUGGUUCUCUCUAAAUUUCAGAUUUCUCUCUUUCUUUUUUUUCGUUUUUUUACUUUGAAUUUACACUUUUUCAAGUUUUUAUUGAAAUUACCACUAUACCUCUCAUUUAUUUAUUCUAACUUUUAAACCUUCAAAGGUUUUAUUGUAUUUUUCAUCUCAUUAAUUCAAGACAUUACAUACAGGCUGAGCAUUGGUCAAGAGACUAGAAAGUUGAGACCCCUUUUGCGAAAAGUUUGGUUUACCUUUCGGAGUCUCAGACAGGCUUCCCGUUGACAGCUUUGCUAGGCCCAUUGUCUUGUGCUCACACGGGAGCUUGGUUGAAAAAGGUGAUUCAGGUGUAUUAGGAUGCUUCCCAGGAAUAUCCAUCGGUCUAUGAAACAGCAAAUGAGCCACAGUCCGGUCUACAGGAUUGGUCUCUGUUUCCACCUCAGGCAUCUUAACUACCCUGCAGAAUACUCAUAAAAUCCAUGAGGAAAAUGACAGGAAAGUUUGAGAUUGCCAUACUCUAAACAAAUUGAUAAAGACUUGAUUAAUAAUUUUGUGCAAACAAAUUGAAUAAUUUGAAAUGGGAAGGACGAGAUGUAAAUGAACAAACCCAUUGGAACAAGAAACAAUCACAUUGUCGCUUACAACAAAAAAUCGAGUUUCAGCUCAAAAGAGCUUAUGGUUUUGGCUGGAAGUAUCCCAUUUAGAUAUAGAUGAGCCCCAGUGGCGGAGCCACAGUGGGUCAAAAGAGAGCAAUUGUCCCCUUAUUUUUUUUAAAUAUUAAUAUAUUAGUGAGAGUGAAUUAUUGCUACAGCCUACAGGUAAGGAAAGUUUUUAACUUUUAUUAUUGUUGACUAACUUGACUUAUAUAUACAUAUAUAUAUAUAUAUAUAUAUAUAUAUAUAUAUAUAUAUAUAUAUAAUUACAGCUCCCCAACUUUUCCCCUUUUCCUUUUUGUUUCUCCUGUCUAACAAAACAAGGGUUUUUUUUCAGCUGCCGUUCUUGCCUCUCCUCGUCUCCUGAAUGCAAAUUUCUCAUGGAUUAAUUUUUUUUUGCGUUUUACUUUAUACUUUAUUUUUUCUAUUUAUUUUAUUGUUUAAUUUUAGUUUUAUUCUUUUAUAAUUAGUUAUUAAAAAUAUUAGGGUUUAUGAUAAUUUAGGGGUUUUGUUAUAAAUAUGUUCAAAAUAAAUAUUUAAAUCUGCUAAUUUAAUUAAUUAAAUAUUUAUUUUCUUAUUAUAAAUAAAUAAAUUAAUAUUCAUGCAAAACCACUAUUCUUGACAUCUCUUGCAUUGAUAGAGUAGUUUAUUGAAAUUUAAUAUUUUUACAUGAUUUGUUUGUAAGUAAAAUAUCAAGUAGAAAACAUGUUUUUCAAGCAUUGUCCCUCUUAUACAUACACUAGGCAUUGUUCCUUAAUUAAAUGUCUAGAAAUGAUUAAGUAUAAUUUAAUCAACAUACUUAUUAUAUGCAUAUAAAUAUGAAUUGAAAUAGGUUUUGAUUUUGAUGAAUUGACGUGUAUUUUGCUAUUAAUUUUAUAUGAAAGAUGUAUAAUUAUUGUGUAACUCAACUGACUUUUGUUUAAUAGUGAAUUAUUAUGUAGUUGUGUUAAUUAUUAUGUAGACACUAAUGAUAAAAAAAUCCAGCAGGUUCAUAUUAAAUUAACAUGUUACUAGACAAAUAUUUCAAGCGUAAAUCUAUUGAGGAUGAAGAGUCAAUCAAAGCUUCAAGUCAUGUAACUCAAUCAAGUUCAAAGAAAAGUCAUAUUGAAAUCAACCCCGACACUCUCCUUGUUGACCCUGGCUUAAGAAGACCAAUUUAUAAGUACCAUAUAAAUGAUAGGGAUGCAAUCCGAAGAGCUUAUCUACAAAAAGAUCCUUGUCAACCUUCACACUAUGAUUUUCCAUAUAUGUUUGAAUUGAUUUCUAAUGCAUGUCUAUAUAAUAUAGUAUUUGUUAAUAAUUUGCCUCCUCAUUUAAAAAACUCUGGCUCCGCCACUGAAUUGAGCCGAUUAGAAGAUGAUUUGAGUUCUUAAAUUUUCUUGCUUAAAAUGUAAUGUAACAUGAAUCUGCAGAUGAUCAUUAAAUUAGAAGGGAAAUUUAAUUUUGCCCUGUUUAUCUAAAGUUGUGCAAGUUCUCUGCAUUGAUGAUUUCAGUGAAUCUGUACAGAUCUUGUUUUCCUUCUAUUUGUCCUUGAAUAAACUUAUUGCACUUGUUUAACAUUCUUUGUCUCUCUCUCUUAGUUAAAUCUAGCAAAAUUUAUGAGGUAUGUUGUGCCACUCAUUUAGACUUGGAUGUGCGUGUUUAGCUCUCCUUUUUGGAUUAAGGUGAUUAUGCACAAAUUCAAUGGAAUCAACAUUGCAGAAAACUUGCAUAGAUUUUGUUAAUAUUGGAAAAAUUAAAUUUCCUUUUCUAAUUAAAUGAAAAUCUCUACUAAAUAAUAUGCUAUUUGAAUUGUCACUGCACUCAUGAAUGCUGCACCAGGGUAAAGCUACAAAUGUCAGUUUAAUAUCUGCCUCUACCUAGCUCGGCCUACAAUACCAAAGCUUCUCUCCUACAAAUGCCAGUUUAAUAUCUGCCUCUACCUAGGUUGGCCUACAUACAAUACCAAAGCUUCUCUCAACUAAACAUGAUGACCAGCACUCACAACCAUAACAGAACCAGUGGAAGCCAACUACUACAUAUUUGAUCAACAAGGUCAAAUUCAGUCAAGUUUUUAAGGAAAUCCAGUGAAAGAGGAACCUAAAAUUUUCUGUUUAGAUUUUCUUCUACUGCUAAGAACAAGCGCGGCCUUAAAUUGAAUUGUUUCAGUCACUACUCCUCCAUUGUAAAUAGAGGAUACCGCUUUCAAUAUUUAUUUCUAGAAGGAGAAUGGAAAACAGAAAAUGGCAUUAAAAGAUCCUAAUUUAACAUUUCCAUAGAGCAAAAAUGUUAAAAAAAGAGAGAGGAUAGAUUAAAUUUGAAAACAGAGGCAUGAGAAAUGCAUUGCCUUAACCAACCUUCUUUGACUGCUGGUUUCCUCUUUUGCAGCAACUUGUUCGUCCCUGCUACUAUUGUUUGUACUGCCAGUAUCACUAGCAUAAUGCCUUUGCAUUGCACUUUGAGCCAGCCGGAACAAGCUAUCCCGAAUACAAAGUCUAAUUCUGACAUCCAACUGUUGUAAAACAUUGGUUUGGAAUCGUAACCAAGCACAAAUUAUUUAGCAGGGAAAGAAUGCAAUAGUACGUGAAGCAUACCUUUGAAAUAAUAUCUUGAAGCCUGUAGAGUACUGUGUCCUCCAUUGAAUAAUCAUUAACCGCCAGAGAGACUGUAUUGGAAUCGUCUUGCUCAAUAGGUGAGUUUGGGUCAAAUGAAGCAAGUGUACUUAGAUCCUCUACUUCAAGGUCAGCUCCUUCAACAUGCUGAAUUUGAUUUUCUUGGGAACACUUUUGAUGAACAAGCUGCUGCUGCUGUUUCUGAAUGGCAAGCAUUGCCUGAAUUUGUUGCCGCCUCAAUUUUUCAAUCUUUUCCUGAGGUGUCAUUCUCUGGGGUUUCACUGGACAGUCAGCUAACUUGUUUAUAGGAUUUGCAUUGCCUGAAACUUCAUAACCAGAAAUUUUAGGUCGAUGAUUAAAUGACUAGAAAUUUUGUUGGGAAGUCAGAAAACUUUAACAGGAUUCGCAUUACCUGAAGAAACUUCAUAACCAGAAGCUAAAGGUUGAUGCUUAAAAUCCCCAGACUGAAUGUGGGACAACCCAGGCAUAGAAUAUGGAUUUGUAGUACUCCCGUAUGCAGAAGGGGCCACAAAUGGAUUGGAUAUCUGCUGGUACUGCAACUGCUGGUACAUCUAUAAUCAAAGUAAAAGGCCAAGAUUCAAAAUAUCCAAAAGAAAUAUUACCUACUUAUAUGCCAAAAAUGGCCAAAACUCUGAAUCCUGAAUAUGUGAAUCAAAGGUAUCUCUAACUGAUGCACCAUCAGCAGUCUCCUAUUUUGACUUGUGAUUAAUGACCUAGCAGUUCACUUCAACAACAUCAUUGAAAGGUCCCUAGUGAACAUAAGUUUGAAUUUCAGACCCAGCAAGAAGAAGUUCAUUUUCCAGUAGGCAUGCAUAUCACCUUUUUAUCAAUAUCCAUGGAAGACAAAAACCAAGCAAUAUCAAGUUUUUUUCUGCUGGAUAUCCAAUAAAAAAUACCUCAAAGUGUGAACAUCUUUAAGAAGGAGGAUAUCGCAUUGCACCCCAUCAACUGAUCCACAAAUAAAUUGGCAUUUUUCCAUCAGUUCCAAGCUACUUUGUAAGGAAAAGGGAGGGAAGUGCCUUCAAAGAUACCUUCUUCAUAGCUUCUUUAGAUAUGAAUCCACACGACUUUCGUAAUCACCAAUCACUAUGCGCACCUUCUCUUAUCAUCACAAGUUCCCAAGAAAAAUUAUAUUCUUCCCUCCUCCAGCCCUUUCCCUACAUAUUUCCACCAGCUUCAUAGCAAUGCGGCCCGUGAAAACGACUCCCAAAUUAAAACACUUGAGAAGCUCUAAUAGUUUUCCACAAAGACCUACUUUUCUUAUUAUUUCUUCACUCUAUAUAUGUCAGUGUGCCAUAUUCAAAUACUACUGAUCGAUUCUUCCUCCUCACAACCACUCACUUUCCCCUAAAUCCCAUACCACAACCACUCCUUAAUCUUCAACUAAAUCAAUAUCUCUCAUCACUUAUGAAAACUCCAUCUAAUUUCCAAAUGAAUCACACCAUUUGAACACUUUGCCAAUUCCUAAUUCCUUCAAAAUUUUCAUCCAUUAAAAAAAAAACUGCAAGUCAUACUUUUUCACUUUAACACAGUUCUCCUUAUAAUCAAUCUUCCAAAAUAACCAUACUAUUGCCUCUAAAUCUGGCACGCAAAGCUUCUACAUAACCUUCCAACGUUACUUCUUGCCGCCCAACAAGGGCGGCGGCAUGCAUGGGCUAGGGUAGGCUCUAGUACAGGUCAAGAUUUUAUCAAUAUUUUUGUAUUAGUUUUAUGUAAAGAAAAUAUGAUGCUUUAGUUUGGGUUAAAAUUUCAGAAUUUUUAAAGAAAUUCAGAAAUUUGAUAAAAAAAAUCAUAAUUUGACCAGUUUUACGUUAUUGAGUGUAAUUUUUAAUCUGAUUAUCAGAUUGAGCUAAAAUUUUACGAGGGAUCUUAAAAUAUAUUGAAUAAAAUCUGGUUUAAAUUUUAGAAUGAACAGAGUUUGGUAGUGCUAACAAAAAAAAAACAUCAAAUAAAAGCAAAACGACUCAUUAAAGGUAAAAUUGUUAUUUGCCAUUAAAAAAUAAAACAAAUCAGUUCUUCCUUCCUUUAUAUGUUGCCGACUGGGCAGAAGCAUAAUAGAAAAUGAAAGAAAAGAAAAGGCGAGAGAGAAAGAGAGAAAAAUAAGGGAAAAACAUAAAAAAAAUCCUAGAAAAAAAGAUAAGAAAAGUGAGAAAAUAACCGUGUAAACUUACAAAGUCCAACUUAUAAAAUAUUAAUCUAAGUAAGAAUCAAGUGAAGAAAAGAGGAAUUGAGAGAGAAACAAAAUUUAAUUACUCUAUUUUUAAUUAAUAUAAAAUUAUUAUUUUAUCCCGAUUAAGAGAUUGCUACAAACUCCUCAAAGUACUCAAAGAGGGACAUAAAUUGGUUAAGCCAACAUUUUUCAUUCUUCUAUUUUCACGCUGGCAUUCUGUUACAAAUACUAACUGAAAGAGCGGAUAAAAGAACAACUUCCAAUUAUCAAGCAAUAGCCAACACGUGGCAAGAUUCUCAGCUAAAUAAAAGAAACACCAACAUUUAAACGAUGUGUCUGGGUGGUAAUUGAAACGGUGUGUUUUGUGACACAAUACCCCUACAAUCGUCUAACAGCCAUGCGGUGCAUUUAGUAGGAUUCAAACAUCUUGCAACGGUCACUAGAUUCAAAUGCUCUCCAUCCUCGCCUCCUCCCCUUGAUGAUUCUUUUGACCCUGCAAGUUCUGUGACAAUCUCUCUCUCUCAAUUAAAUCUAGCAAAAUUUAUUCUUUCCAACUUUAUUUGUUUUGACUGAAAAAUAAUCUUUUAUUUUUGUACUUCACAGGCAUGUGGUGGCAAAAGUCGAGCACUAUAUAUAUAUAUAUAUAUUCCUGAAGAUACAUAUGGCUGGUGAUUAGCGGAUGAUGGUGCCAUUAAGACUCUUGGUGUGUACCCUCAUCCUUUCUGCUUAUAGUUGAGUCCAUUUGCAGCUUCAAUGGCUACUAUCAGUUGCUUUGGAACCUGAUAUCACUAGUCUCAUUAUGGUACAGACAAGCUCAGGAUGAUCAAUCCUUGAGAAUCCACAUCCAACCAGAAAUAAACCGAAUUUCGAGCAUAAAUGACUCGAACUCGCUGGAAUGCUUUGGCACCUCCUUCAAUCCUAGUUUGGGAAACAGAAACACUAUCACCAUUAGUUUUCACCGAGGAAGACAGCACCCCCAUUCUCUCCUGCUGUGCUGAUGAUGGGGCAUGAGAGAUAGUCCAAAGGAUUUGCCUCCCUCCUGCCGCAAGCAAUUAGAAUGGUUAUCACCAGACCUAUAAGGAUCAGUUUUUCUUUUCGGACUGAAAAAAACAUGAAGAGAGAAGUCACCAUAUGUGUACCUAGCCGCAGAGACAGCUGUUUCAGUGCUGGGGAAAACUCCAGGCUCUGAUAAAUCUUUGGCAGAUCGUUCUGUGGCGAACGAGGGCGGUGGUAUACUGCAAACUCAAAAGCAAUUUGUGACACAGAUUACUCAAAAUUAUGCCACAAGUGUCAAGGGUGUAAAUCUAUCAUGAAAUCAUCACGUCGUUGUUUUCCACUCGGUAUAAAAAAGAAGUCACACGCCUUAGAGGUUAAAUAAAUUUAUGAAGUUCACCAGCAUAAUUCACACUAAUUCCCCUCUCCAACUUGCACCUCAUCAAUUUUUAUACCUUUACUCUCGAACGAAAAUAAUAAUAUCUAAGUUAUUAAACCCAACUUGAAUUAUAAUUCAAGCAGUGGGUUAACAUAAAUCAAUACAAAGUGAUGUGACUUUUAAGAGUUUUUUGAAAAAACAAAUUAAAAUGAUGUGAAUCUUUUUUAAAUUAAACUGAGUUUUAAUUGAUUAAAUAAGUUGGAUUACACCAGUCAAAUCCUAUCCGAUUUAAUUUAAAAUCCAAUCCAAUCUCUUAACUUACCUUGAGUUGGGUUAACACUAUUAUUGACAGACCAAAUUCUCAAUCUUUAUUUAUUAUAAUCACGAUCCAACUCAUUAAUUUUAAAUGGGCCUACAAAACCUUCAACUUGCCAUAAAAAAUAAAACUUCAUACUCAUACUCAUUAGCGGUUCUGCAUCCUAUUUUAUAAAAGACACUCCAACAUAAUUAAAGUAGUAUUUAAUAUUUUGGUAGUAAUUAUUCUUUAAAGUAUUUUUUAUUUAGAAAUAUAUAUAAAUAAUUUUUAUUUUUUAUUUUUAAAAAUUAAUAUUUAACAUUAUAUAUUAAAACAAUCUAAAAACAUAAUUUUUUUAAAAAACUAUUAUUAUUUUAAAAAAACUGUAUCACCAUACAAACAAAUCCAAAAACACAAUUAUUUUAAAAAAAUUAUAUCACCGUAAAAACAAAUAAUUUUUAAGAGUGACAGUGAGCAACAGAAAUAAACCAUGGCAGAAACUAAAAACACCUUUAAUGAAAAUUGCGCUUCGAUUCACAACGUUUUCAUCCUUGACCAAUGCUCGACAAAGUAGACGAUGGGUCAAAAUAGGGCUAAUAUGCUGUGUAUGUUUGAUAAUGCAGUGAAUAUAAUUUUCUAAAAAUAUUUUUCGAUUAAUAAAAUAUUUCUUAAAGAAAUUUUCAAUAAUUUUGUUAAGAAAUUUGCGUGGACAGACAUUUUAAAGAAUGAUGCUAAAUUUGGUGUUACAUAGGCAGCUGCUGGCUCCUCUUGUAUCUUUUGGGGUUUGGCAUCGUUUGUUUCCUGCCGUUGUCUAUUCUCCGGUCGUCGAAGCUGACUGCAAUCCUCUGACUCUGUUCUCAUAGUCAGAUGCUUCCUCUGUUUUCUCCUGGCAUUAAAAUUACAGCUGACCUUCAAAUCUUAUUGAUGAUAUGCCUUUGGUCAUUUUCAUGAAUGGUGCUUGGUGUUGUCUUCUAGUGUUUGCAGUACUGAAUAUGAAAUGAGCUACGCCUGGUUACUCAAUUCAUUAACCUCCCUACUUUUAAUUAUAUAUAUAUAUAUAUAUAUAUAUAUAUAUAUAUAUAUAUAUUUUCUAAUCCAAGUAAAAUGAAUUAUAUUAUUUUUUAAAAUAAAUUUAAUCUCAAAUAAAAAUUUUACUUUCUAAAAUAAAAUAUGAAUUAUAUUAUUUUAAAAAUUUGCUUGAGUUACAUGAGGUUUUAUGGCAGCCCAGUAACGGACUCUUAGCAGAAUACCAGGCUGUUAGGCCUCCCUUUUCAUCAUUUUGAGCUUUACCGGUUACGCUUUUUUUGAGGAUGAAUAUUCUUAUUUAUUUUAUUUUUUCAACUUAAGGAUGAACAGUAUGUUUAUUAAAGACUGCAUUAACAGCCGGCUGCUAUUUUGAGUUCUGCGGGGCUUUUUGGAAGUGCCUUCCGUUUAGGGAAAAUUUGGAUUUUUUAUUUAAUUUUUUUUUACAUAAUGUUUAAAAUAAUUUUAAAAAAUAAAAAAAUUAUGGUAAUGUAUUUUUACUUACUUUAAAAAUCAUCCACUUGAUUAAUGGGCAUUAGCUGUUUAACACCACAUGGUAAAAACUUCGGGUUCCUUCCCUACGUACCCUUUUCCUCACUGGUUCUACAAUGUCUCUGGGUGGGUCCAUCUGUGCAAGUGCCUUGUAAAAUUGCCUUAUUCAGUAGUAUUUGUAAUUUUGUGUAGAGCUGGUAUCAUUCUUUGAAAUCAUAGUUAUUACGUCAUUGAGUUAACUCGUGUGUUAAUUAUAGGAUCAAUCAUUUUACUUUGUUUUUUUUCUUUAAAAAGAACAAAAUUUCUUGUAUUGACCUCAGUGUAUUUAGAUAAGAUUUUAUCAGUACAGUUGGGUAAUUAAGAAUCUAGUUGAGUCAAAUGGUUUUUGAUCAUAUUAAUGUUUUUUCUAGUUGAAUUUUAAACAUGAUCUAGAUUAGACUCUAGAUUAUGAAUUCCAUGUAUUAACUCACCAUCAAAUUUAACAGCUUUGCUAUAUUUUGGAAUAACAUAUAUAUAAAUAAAAAAAUUAAUAUAUUUUGAAGUAAAAUAUAUUUUUAAAACAUAUUUAAAAAAACAAACAAUAUUUUACUCACAAACAGAUAAUCCUAUUGCAUCUUAAACUCCAAGUUUCCAACAAUGAGUACCCCCAACUAAACAAUAUCUACAUUCAAUUAGAACUUGUGGUAUAGUUACCUGACAGCGAAAUAAAAAAGAAGAAGUAGGAACCCCCCUGGAUCUAGGAAAUUUCUAUUAGACCUGCAAACUGAGGCCGUAACGAGCUUUGGAUCUACACACAGGGAAGAGUAAUUUCAAUAGACCAUGAUCCAAAUCAACGGCUGAAAUCUAAUAACUCAAGGGAUAGUGACACGUUGCCAGGAGUGGAAGACAGCUGGUCUCCAGUACGAAGAGAAACAGCAACGUUUUUGUUGUUUAAAAUGGAGUGUUUGUCUUCAUUGUUUCAUGGGAAAUGGGCUGAUGUCAGAUGGAGAAAUUUCUGUGCCGAUCCACUGGAGAGAGAGACUUCUUCAACCACCAAUCAAAUUAUUCUUAUUGACUUUCUGUGCAGUUUGGCACUUUCCUUCGCUCAUUCUCUCUUUGCACCACAAACACUUGGUAUUUUAAAAAGAGAAACUAAGCACGGUUUUGCUGUCAAAGUUGUUGUUUUCGUAUUUUAAAAGAGUUUUUUUAAAAAAUUAAUUUGUUUUUUAUUUUUUAUCAAUUUUUUAAUUGUCUCCAUAAUAGAAAGAUACCAUCCCCACAAUACAAAACUCUUAAAAAAAAAGAUACCUGUCGUUGUGCUGUUUUAUCGAUAUCACAAGCCACGCGAGUAGCGUGAUUAGAGUGAUUUUGUAUGGGACCCAGUUGUGACAUCAGCUGCUUUUGUGUUUUUUCUUUCAAUCACAGCUUGAUAGUAGGCAUGGCAUGAUUGAUGAUUGAUGGGGGGAGGGGAAAUGGGAGCCACACGAUCCAUUUCAUGGUUGGUUGGUUUUUUUAUUAACGUGGUUUUACUGUCGGUUUGCUUCUAUUUUAACUAAUUUUACAAAUCUAAAAUAUAACUAGUUAACCUGCUGUUGUAUUAUUUUAUUUCACGGUUGUUUCUUGCUUGUGGAAGAUCAUGUCAUAACGGAUCUUACGGGAUCGAUACCUUGCUCGGUGUUGAUUUACUACAAUGGCUGCACGUGAACCCGUCCACCAGAACAAAUCCCAACCAGUGUCCGUCUAUCACACUCAAAUUAAUUUGAGAUUUCUGUUCCAGUGCCUCCAGAGAAGAGUAUAGUUGUUAAUCAUCUUUUAUUUUUGUGUUUUAUAAUUUUUUUAGGGUAAAUUCUCAUAUAACUUAUCAUAAUAUCUAAUCUCUACAAACCGACUGCAUCAUUAAAUUUAAUUUUCUUGAAAUAUUUUUUAUGAACAAGCUCCCAUUGCUGUUUCUGAUGACAAGCAUUGCUUAAUUUGUUAUUGCCUCCUUGAUUUUAAAUAUAUAUUUAAAAAUUAUAAAUCAUUUACAUAUAUAAAUUUGGAUACCGAGGUUAAUCAUGUUGGAUAAUAUCACUUCCACCUCCAUAUCCAAACAAGUAAGGUUUUUUUUAUCCAUCAUUAUGGAACAAAAAUCCCUCCAUAUUCACUUUUAUUCAGGUAAAUGGAUGUGAACGGGUUCAAUUGUCAUUUCUAAAAUUAAUUAAGCCCAAGUUAUCGAUAAAUGUAUUAGGAAAUCAAGUUUUUAUUAUUUAUUAUGAUUUUUAAUAUAUUUAUAUAGUAAAAUCCCUCGUAUAUAUAUUGAAUGCUCUUUCUCCAUCAAAGCUAAUGGAAAUGUGUAUAAAUUAUCAUUUUCUCCCCCAUUUAAGUUUUUGACAAUCAAUCGAUGGUUUGAUAGCAUUUAAUAUAUAGAUCACUGACCUGCUGGUGAGCAUUACCAAGCAUGUUCUGCAGCCGAAGCUAGAAAGACUACCUGCUGAGCAGAAGCAACAACUGGUGGAUAAGUAUAAGAUGGAAGACAAACAGGUAUUAUAUAGCUCUGAGGUGUGAUGGCAAAGAUUGAAUAACAUUAUAAAGGGGACAUACUCUUGCUUUCAGCAUCCUCGUGUGGAUUUAACUAGCACUCAUCUCAUUUCACAUUCACAGGCCUCCCUGUUCCCAGAAAUUAGCUCAAUGCUCCUUUUAGUUCCUCAAGAUUUAAUUUUGGUGGAAUCUAAUUAAUAACAGAUAAAAGCAACAUUCAUAAGCAGAUUGUUUCAGAGCUCUUAACUGCAAGUUCAGGGGAAAUGCAUUUAAGCCUGGAACGGUGCGGGGCCUGUAUCUACGUUUAUGCCUAAGAAUAGUUUCUCUUAAGUUAUGAUUAGAAGUAUAAAUUUGAAGUCACAAGCUAGCAGUGAUGGUGAAUUGUGUUUGAACUCUUUGCAUUUCAUCAUCCUCUACUGCCAUGACACGUCCUAGAUGACUGGAUGCUGUGGAUGUGACCUGGACCAUAGCCAUGACAGUCUCCUUUCCUACCCUUUUCCUCGCUGGUUCCUUGACAUCUUCGGGUGGGUGCAGGUGCCUUGUUAAAUUGUCUGAGUCAUUAUCGGUAAUUUUGUGCAGAACUGUUAUUAUUCUUUGAAAUCAGACCGGGUUCGAGGAUCGAGUAUAAAAGAAUUUGGAAUCAUUUUAUUAAAAUGAUUUUUUUAAAAACAAAUUCCUUAGUAUUUAUUUAAUCAAGUUUAAAUCAGAUUUUUAUCUGGUCAAAUAAAUCAUUAAAAAUUCAAUUGAGAUAAUAAGAUUUUAUCAUAUCACCAUUUUUUCUAAUUCAAUUUUAAACUUGGUUUAUAUCAAUAUUUGGAGGAUGUGCUCUCCAUAUGAAAUCAGUAUGCAGGAAAGAGUUUAAAAACUAUACUAUAUAUAGAAAAAAUAUUUUGAAAUAAAAUGAUAUAUAUAUAAAACCCUCAAGGUCUAGGGUCCACCGGUGAAAGCAUGAAGUGAAGGGUUCUUCUGCAUUAUUAGCACAAGUGAAAAGAAAGAUUAUAUUGGGCAUAUAAUAAAGUUAUUCCAACCAAACCCUCUUUUUCGACCGAUGGGGUCUCUUGGCAAAUAAAUCAAGGACAGACCGAUGGGGUCUCUUGGCAAAUAAAUUAUAAUUAAUUUUUUUUUGGAGUGAUUUUUUAUCUUUUGAUUAUGUAAAAUUUAGUAUUUUGUUUUUCCUUUAGCUUCUGCAAUUUGAUAUUUACGUUCAAUUUCUAUAAUUUGUGUUGUGUUUUGGAGUAAUCAUAUAAUUUCGAGAAUAUAUUUAUUUAGUUUCUGCGAUAUCUAUUCACUUUCUGUAAUUUGAUACUUUAUUUUUCGUUGCUUUUGCUUUCUGUUUUUUUAUUUGUUAAUUAUGGCUACCGAAAUAGAUGAUUCGUUUCAGUCUGUGAGAGGUUGGAUGAAAAUAAUUAUUCGUACUAGUAAUGAGAAAUUUCUUUAAGGGUAAGAAGAUGUGGGUGUAUGUUAGUGGAACUUAUAUGAUACCCAAGAAUACCGAGAAAAGUGAUGUUAUUUUGAUAGAUAUAUGGGAAGCAAAUAAUACAAAGAUUAUUAUUUGAAUCAACAAUUCUGCCGAGCAUUCUAUAGGUAUAUAGUUGGCGAAGUAUGAGACAACAAAGAAGAUUUAAAAUCAUCUGCAAAGAUUAUUCAUGCAAUCAAAUUUUAUAAAGCAAUAUAAUACCCCCAAAAGUCAUGGUAGUAAUGAAUAUUUGAUUUUUUUUUAAUGAAAACUAGAGAACUAUAUUAGAAGAAAAAAACCUGCUAUUUAGGAUUAAUUAAUUGCUUUAAUUCAAUUCUUUCUAUUGACAUUGAUACCAAACAUGUUAAUUCAUAAUAUAAUCAAGUAAUUCAAUUCAAAUUUACUAAUACAAUUCAACUCCACUUAAGCCUUUGAAUAUAGCCAAAUGCAAAGGUUAUUAAAGUGAAGGAUCUUAAUAAUUUUUAUGCUUUGCAACCCUAGGAGCCACACAAAAUAUAAUGUGUUUAGACCAUAUUUAUUUGCUGAAAAGUAAUUUCUUUUUAUAAAGAGAUUUUAUCAUAAGUGAAUUAUUUUUUUAUAUUUGAUAAUACCAUGAAAAAUAAGUUGGAAAAUAUCUUUUAAUAUUUAAUUAUGUCAUGAAAGAUGAGGUGAAAAAUAAUUUUUUUAUUUUUUAUUUUUUUUCAAGUUUAUUAAAAGAAUGAGAAACAAGUCUUACAUAUAAAAAUAUUAAAGGAGGAUGAAAUUGGAAAAAAAAUUUAUUUUCAUAAACUAUUUCAAAUAAAAUAAAUAACAAUAAAAAGAAUUAGGACCAAAUCUGAUAAAUAAAAAAAUUUAAUUAAAAAAAGAUAAGAUAAAAGAAAAUAAAAAUAAAAAUAAAAAGAAUGAGAAUCAAAGUUGAUAUAAAAAUAAGAUUAAAUCAAAUUAUACGGGAUAGAAUUGAAAAAAAAACAUUCAAAACAAAAUGUAUAGCAAUCAAAAGAUUAAGGACUAAAUUGGAUACAAUCAAUAAAUAACAAGAUAUUUUUAAAUUUUUUACAAUUUCUAGAAAAAUUUUUCAGUCCAAAAUAAAUAUAAAAUAAUUUUCUAGAAAUCAAAUCAAAUUUAAUAUUUUUUAUUUUUAAAAAAUGAUUUUUAAUAUAAAAUAUCAAAAUAAUUAUAUGUAAAGUAAUAUAAAUAAUGUUUUUUUCAUUUUAAAAUAUUAAUAUAUUAAAAUAAUAUGAUAACAUAAAAAAAAUAUUAAAUUAAAAUAAAAAAAAUAAUUUUAAUAUUUUUAAAAUACGUUCAAAAAGAAAUUCCAAACACUAGCAAUAUGGGUGCUUCAUAAGAAAGAUCGAAGGUGACAUUCAUUAUAACUCUACUGCCCCACAUCUCUCUCCUACCUGCAGCAACCACUAAUAGAAUGUUCAUGGCGUCUUCUUCUUCUUCUUUGCCUAGACCUGGUUGGGUUUACGAUGUAUUUCUAAGUUUUAGAGGUGAAGAUACUCGCAAAAAUUUUACGGAUCAUCUUUACACUGCUUUACUCCAAGCAGGAAUCCAUACAUUUCGAGACGACGAAAAACUUCGUAGAGGUGAAGAAAUCUCCUUCCAACUCUCCAAAGCAAUACAAGAAUCCAAGAUUUCUAUAGUGGUUUUCUCUGAGGGCUAUGCUUCCUCCACUUGGUGUCUUGGUGAACUUCAAAAGAUUCUUGAUUGCAGACACACAACUGGGCAGAUUGUUCUACCUGUUUUCUAUGAUAUCGAUCCUUCUGAUAUUAGAAAGCAGACGGGGAGUCUUGCUGAAGCCUUUGGUAAACAUGAAGAAAGUUUUAAGGAAGAAAUGGAGAAGGUCCAAAAGUGGAGAAAAGCUCUUUUGGAGGCUGCAAAUUUAUCUGGGUUGGAUCGUCGCAGUAUCGCAAAUGGGUGCUUCUUUUCUUUCCCUAUAUCGAUAGCAAAUGCUUAUAACUUUUACUCUUAUUACAUUUUGCAUUUUAAAUUUGCAUUAAAUUCAAAAUAUUAUCUUUCAUCGAUGAGUGAUGACUUUCUUUUUCUAUGCACAGGCAUGAGUCAAAAUUAAUUCAAAAGAUUGUCGAAGACGUUUCAAGUAUUUUGAAUCCCAGAAACAUAAACGAUAGGUUGCUGAAGAGGUUGAAGACAACAAUGAUAUCUGGCAAUGGGCUGCUUGACGAUGCUGAGGAGAAGCAGAUAACAAAUAAAGCUGUGCGGGAUUGGCUGGCCGAGUAUAAAGACGCUGUCUAUGAAGCCGACGACUUCUUGGAUGAGAUUGCUUAUGAAGCUCUACGGCAGGAGUUGGAAGCUGAAGCACAAACCUUCAGAGAUCAGACGCAGAAGCUUCUUUCUUUCAUUAACCCACUUGAAAUAAUGGGGUUGAGGGAGAUAGAAGAAAAAUCAAGAGGCCUCCAGGAGAGUCUAGAUGACUUAGUAAAACAAAAGGAUGCCCUUGGUUUGAUCAACCGCACUGGUAAAGAACCAUCAUCGCAUAGAACACCAACAACUUCUCACGUGGAUGAAUCUGGUGUUUAUGGUAGAGAUGAUGACAGGGAAGCAAUACUGAAGUUGCUUCUAUCAGAGGAUGCAAAUAGAGAAAGCCCGGGUGUCGUCUCCAUAAGGGGAAUGGGCGGGGUUGGUAAAACCACGCUUGCUCAGCAUGUAUACAAUCGCAGCGAAUUACAAGAGUGGUUCGGUCUCAAAGCCUGGGUUUAUGUUUCAGAAGAUUUUAGUGUUUUGAAGUUAACCAAGAUGAUCCUUGAGGAGGUCGGUUCAAAGCCUGAUUCUGAUAGUCUGAAUAUUCUCCAGCUUCAGUUGAAGAAGAGAUUGCAGGGAAAGAGAUUUUUGCUUGUUCUAGAUGACGUUUGGAAUGAAGAUUAUGCUGAGUGGGACAAGUUGCUUACCCCCCUGAAGUACGGAGCACAAGGGAGUAAGAUUCUUGUCACAACACGCAAUGAAAGUGUAGCAUCAGUCAUGCAAACUGUCCCAACUCAUCAUCUAAAAGAAUUGACGGAAGACAGCUGCUGGUCCUUGUUUGCCAAACAUGCAUUUCGUGGUGAAAAUCCCACUGCUCAUGAAGAGUUGCUAGAAAUUGGUAGAGCAAUAGCGAGAAAGUGUAAAGGCCUUCCUCUAGCUGCAGUAACACUCGGAGGUCUGCUACGCACCAAAAGAGAUGUAGAGGAGUGGGAGAAGAUAUUGGAAAGCAAUCUAUGGGAUUUACCCAAAGACAAUAUCCUCCCAGCUUUGAGAUUAAGUUAUCUUUAUCUCCUGCCACAUCUGAAGCAAUGUUUUGCUUAUUGUGCUAUAUUUUCAAAAGACUAUUCAUUUCGAAAGGAUGAAUUAGUGCUCCUGUGGAUGGCAGAGGGCUUCUUAGUCCACUCUGUAGACGAUGAGAUGGAAAGAGCAGGUGCUGAGUGCUUUGAUGAUCUCUUGUCAAGGUCGUUUUUCCAGCAAUCAAGCUCAUCAUUUGUGAUGCACGAUCUCAUGCAUGACUUGGCUACCCAUGUGUCCGGUCAAUUUUGCUUCAGCUCCAGGUUGGGGGAAAAUAAUUCUUCCAAGGCCACCAGAAGGACUCGACAUUUAUCACUCGUAGAUACGAGAGGCGGUUUUUCAAGUACAAAAUUAGAAAACAUCCGUCAAGCCCAACUUCUACGCACAUUCCAAACUUUUGUACGCUAUUGGGGUCGUUCUCCUGAUUUUUAUAAUGAGAUCUUUCAUAUAUUGUCAACACUUGGGCGCCUACGUGUGCUAUCCUUGUCUAACUGUGCCGGUGCAGCUAAGAUGCUUUGUUCAACUAGCAAGUUGAAGCAUUUGCGGUAUUUGGAUCUCUCUCAGUCAGAUUUAGUAAUGUUGCCUGAAGAAGUGAGUGCUCUUCUCAAUUUGCAAACGUUGAUCUUGGAAGAUUGCCUCCAACUUGCUAGUCUACCUGAUCUUGGAAAUUUGAAGCACUUACGACAUCUGAAUCUUGAAGGAACAGGAAUCGAAAGGUUGCCUGAAUCUCUGGAAAGGUUAAUCAACUUGCGGUAUCUUAACAUCUCAGGCACGCCUUUGAAAGAGAUGCUACCACAUGUGGGUCAACUGACAAAGCUCCAAACGUUGACUUUCUUUCUCGUGGGAGGACAGAGUGAGACUAGCAUUAAAGAAUUGGGAAAGCUACAACAUCUACGGGGACAACUUCAUAUUAGGAACCUUCAAAACGUGGUGGAUGCUCGGGAUGCUGCUGAGGCAAAUUUGAAAGGUAAAAAGCACCUUGAUAAGCUGAGGUUUACAUGGGAUGGUGACACUCAUGACCCGCAACACGUAACAAGCACACUUGAGAAAUUAGAGCCAAAUAGAAAUGUGAAGGAUCUUCAGAUUGAUGGUUAUGGAGGUGUAAGAUUUCCGGAGUGGGUAGGAGAGUCCUCUUUCUCAAAUAUAGUGUCCUUGGUGCUCAUUAGCUGUAGAAACUGCACCUCCUUACCACCGCUCGGGCAAUUAGCUUCUUUAGAGAAACUCUUAAUUGAAGCAUUCGAUAAAGUUGUAACUGUGGGCUCUGAGUUUUAUGGGAAUUGUACUGCUAUGAAGAAGCCAUUUGAAUCCCUCAAAAGAUUAUUUUUUUUAGAUAUGCGAGAGUGGUGCGAGUGGAUUUCAGACGAAGGCAGCCGGGAAGCCUUCCCUCUUCUUGAUGAGCUUUACAUAGGAAAUUGCCCCAACCUUACAAAAGCCCUACCCAGUCACCACCUUCCACGUGUAACAAGACUUACAAUUAGUGGAUGUGAGCAGCUUCCUAGGUUUCCUAGGUUGCAGUCUCUCUCUGUUUCUGGAUUCCACUCCCUAGAGUCGCUCCCCGAGGAAAUUGAGCAAAUGGGUUGGUCACCCUCUGAUUUAGGGGAAAUUACAAUCAAGGGCUGGGCUGCUCUCAAAUGCGUCGCACUGGACUUGUUCCCCAAGUUAAAUUCUCUUUCUAUCUAUAACUGUCCAGAUCUCGAAUUACUAUGUGCACAUGAAAGACCUCUCAAUGAUCUCACCUCUCUACAUUCUUUGAUAAUCCGGGAGUGCCCUAAAUUAGUUUCAUUUCCCAAAGGAGGAUUACCUGCUCCAGUCUUGACACGACUUAAGUUACGGUAUUGCAGAAAGUUAAAGCAGUUGCCUGAGUGCAUGCAUUCCCUCCUCCCAUCCCUUUCGCAUUUGGAAAUAAGAGAUUGUUUAGAACUUGAGUUGUGUCCAGAAGGGGGUUUUCCUUCCAAAUUACAAUCACUUGAGAUUUGGAAAUGUAACAAACUCAUUGCAGGCCUCAUGCAAUGGGGCUUGCAAACGCUCCCUUCUCUCUCACGUUUUACAAUUGGUGGCCACGAAAAUGUUGAAUCCUUCCCUGAAGAGAUGCUUCUGCCCUCAAGUCUUACAUCUCUUCACAUCUAUGACCUAGAACACGUGAAAUCUCUUGACUACAAGGGGCUUCAACACCUCACCUCUCUUACAGAAUUGGUGAUUUCUAGCUGCCCUCUGAUUGAGUCAAUGCCAGAAGAAGGGUUGCCCUCCUCCCUUUUUUCUCUUGAAAUUAAAUAUUGUCCCAUGCUGAGUGAAAGUUGUGAAAGGGAGAAAGGUAAAGAUUGGCCCAAGAUUUCUCACAUUCCUCGCAUAGUUAUUUUCCCAACAUCAGCGGAGCAAAAAAGUAGCAGUUAAAAGGAGCUUUUCUUUCAAUCGUCCAACAUAUUGAGGUAUUGCUACUAAAGAGUUUAUUUUCUUUUCAGUAAUCAAAGGCAAUUUCAGUUAAAAUUUGUCAUGUUCCACUAUUAAUUCUAUGCUUAUUUUUGGCAGGAUCCAAAUCCAUCUUUCUACUUACAGUUCAUGAAGGCUCUGUCACCCUUCCUUCUUGCCAGAACGAUAUGCACAGGAUAAAAUUGAUCUGCUUGCUCCCUCAGCUAUGACUCAUUGUGAGCUUUUCCAUUUGAUGUUCUUUCUCAGUUACUCUGUAUUUCUCCACCAUUAUUAAUUCUUUGCAUUUUCAUGUCAGUAUUACCAAUUGCCCAUUUUCACUAAACAAGAUUGUUUUUCAAAUAUCAUUACGUAGCUAUUUGUGUAUUUUACAUAUCCUUUUCAUGCUCUUGGUCUAAAUCCUCUAUUGUUUCUUUGCAGCAUUCUGAUCCAAAUUUUCCUCUACAAGCAUGGGCGGCUCAUAAGUUUGGAUGAAUGAAAUACAGAUACUGUCCAUGUUGUAUGUUUUUAUUUGUUGGAUGUUGAUAUACAAAUUUUCUUCCCAUUGUCUCUCAUACAUCUUCUUUCUCAUUUUAAAAUGUUUAAUGAGUUCUUUAAAAUAACUAAUUUAUAAUUUUAUUAUUGACCAUGCUUUAUUGUAGGUCAAGUUAAGUUUUUCUUAAAAAUAAAAAAUUAUUUAAAUUGUGAAUGUUUUAAUUUUUUCUGGUAAAAAAAAUUUAAAUCGUGUGGUGAUAUAUUUGGUGUGAGUUGAUUCAAUUUGCAGUUUAAAAAACAACCUAGAUAACCAAUAAAAAUAUAAUUUAACUUAUAAAAAAUUUCAAGAUUACAUAUAUUUUUUUAAUAUUAAGAUAACAACAAAUUAAAUUGAUUUGGGUCAACUCAAGUUAACUUGUUAAAUUCAUAACUUGAAUUAUGAGACUAUGAUAACUAUGUAGAAAAUAAAUUAUUAAGUCUAAUUUUCAACCAACCAAAUAUUAAAAGAUAAAAUUAAAAUAAAUAAAUAAGCCAUUUGGAGAUUGACCUGAUGCGACUUAAUUGAUUUAGCUUGUUUGAAAGCAACCCUGACAACCAGUAAAAAUAUAGUCUGACUUAGAAAAAAUUUCAAAAUGACACUUUUUUUUAAUAUGAAGAUAACAAAGUAAUAGAUUGAAUUGGGUUAACCAAAGUUAACUUGUUAAAAUUUUUAUCCAGGUAUGAGACUAUGAAGUCUAAUUCCUAAUCAACCAAAUAUUGAAUGAUAUAAUUGAAAAAAUAAUCAAUUAAAAAAAUAAUCUAAAAAUAUGAAUUGAGUUAACUUGUCAAGUCCAUAGCCUUGGUUAUAAUAGAGAUAUAAUCUUAUAGAAAAAAAAUAAAAAUAAAUUAUGAAGUUCAAUCUUAAUUAGCCAAAUGUUGAAGGAUAAAAUUAAAAAAAAAGAAAUCAAUUUUAAAAAGAACAUAAAAAUAACUCAAGUCAAUCCACCAAACCCAUAACUAGCUCGUCAUGAGAUCGAAAUAAUCUUAUAAAAAAAUUACAUGAUUUAACUCAUUAAAUAUGUGACUUUGGUUACAAGACCGAGACAACCUCUUAAAGAGUGAAUAAAAAUAAAUUAAAAAGUGCAAUCCCUAAUUGACCAUGUCAAACCCGAUGUGAAUGAUGCAAUUUCUAGAAAUUUGAAUUAAAAAAUAACAUAAAAAUGAUUUAGGUCAAUUAGGGUUAAUCGGUUAAGCAUCAUUUUUAGACAAUGAGGCUAGGAUAACAUAAUAAAAACAAAAUCAAAACAAACCAUGAAGCUUAAUUCCUAAUAAAACAUAAUAUUAAAUAAUAAAAUUGAAGAAAAAAGAUCAAUAAAAAAAUUGAGUCAAUCGGGUUAACUUGCUAAGCUUGCGAGUUAGGUUAUGAAACAUAAAUAAUCCAAUAAAAAGCAAAUUCACUAUUGAAGGACUCGUGACCCAGAUCAUGAAAUCAAGAUAACCUCUUAUAAACAAAAUUAAAAAACAACUCAAUUUAAUUUGGAUUAAAAUGCCAAAACCCCCGUCUCUAAUCAUGAGACUAGGAUAACCCUGUAGAAAAUAAUUUGAAAUAGAUUAUGAAGCUUUAUUCCCAACUGACUUGAUAUCGAAUGAUAAAAUUGAAAAAAAAAUUCAAUUAAAAAACAUAAAAUACAACUCGAGUCAACUUAGGUUAACUUUUUAAGUAUUAUUUCUGGGUUACGAGGUUAAAAUAAUCUAAUAUAAAACAAACAAAACAAAACAUGAAACUUAAUUUUUAAUUAAUCUAAUAUUAAAAGAUAAAAUUAUAAAAAUUAAAAAGUUAGCUAAAAAAAUCAAGUUAACCGAAUUAAUCCAUCAAAUCCACAAUUUUUAUUAUAAAAGUGAGACACCUUAAUAAAAAAACAUUCAUUAAAAAAAGCACUCAUUCAAAUAAUUGUAUAAAAUAUAAUAAUAUAAAGUAUAAUUUAUGAUUUAUUUAUUUAAUUUAUCAAUGAAAAGUGAUAGAAGGAAGAAGAGAAAAGAAAUAAAGUGAAGUCUUCUGCUGCAUUAUCAUAUCAUGUGAAAAGCUUCGCAUUUUGUGAAGUUUUUCCAAUCAAACCCCUUUUUUUAAAAGAUGUAAUUUCUAGGAAAAUAAAUCAAAGACAAACCGAGUAAAAUUCCAAAAGAAGAGAAAGAUGGAAUAGCGUUUCAGUUGCGGCUUGUAUACGUGUUUCAAAAAUAAUUUUUUUAUUUUAAAUUAAUAUUUUUUUUAAUGUUUUUAGAUUUUUUAAUUUGUUAAUAUUAAAAAUAAUUUAUAAAAAAUAAAAUAAUUUAUUUUAAUAUAUUUUUAAAUAAAAAACAAUAGAAACCCGUGACCCCUUAAAUGUACUCCUAAGCAUAACAAUUUAAGAGUUAAAGAGCCGAGAGAGAAAAAGCUUUUGCCAGUUCUUUACACAAAUUCUUUCCCCUUCUGUCAGCUGAACAAAAUCCCCUCUUCUUCUUCUUCUUGUUUGUUUACUCUUCCUUCGUUACUUUGCAAAGAGGAGAAACCAUGGCCGGGGCUUUAGUAGGAGGAGCUUUUCUUUCUUCUUUCCUUAAUGUUUUGUUCGACAGGAUGGCCUCUCCCCAGGUGGUUGCCUUCUUCAGAGGCCAAAAAGUCAACAAUUGGCUGCUAACGAGGUUGGAGACAGCAAUGACAUCUCUCAGGGUGGUGCUUGACGAUGCCGAGGAGAAGCAGAUAACAAACCAAUCUUUCCUGGGAACUUGCUUAGUUAAAGGAUUAUCCAUACGAUACUAUUUUUAUAUAUAUAGCAGUUUGUAAUGAAACGGUUGAAGACUAGCAAGACGACGACACAAGAGAACAGUUGGGUUCCGUAUGAUCAAGGAUCUGAUGGAGUGGUGAUUUCUUCAAAGAAGUUAGAUUCGGUGACUGUAAUUUCUCGAGGGAGAAUUGAUGAAGACCCUGAUAAUGGAAGAGAAAUACAGCAAGGGGAUAAAGAUUGACACCCUAUUUUGACUUGGAUAGGUGUUGUGACAUGAUGAGUUGCUGUCAAACAUAAGCAAGGAAUGGGGAGAAAUUUGGAGAACAGAAAUUGCACGAGGGCACAUGGAGAUUGUGUAGGAGUACCCGUGAUCCAACGAGGUACUGUAAUGAGACAACAGAUGCAAGGAGAAGAAGUGUUCCCGGAUGAAGCUCAAAGUAAAGAUUGUGAAAAGGAUGUACAACAGGAAGUCUCUUGUGCUCUUGAUGAAGACAACAGGCGAGGACCUUUCCAAUACAUGCAAGGAUAGAAAGAGAGCUAUUGCAGAGGCACCUAAUUGAGGGGGUGCGAACGCCUAUGAUAAAAGACGACCGCCUAUGAUGAAAGGCGAAGACACCAAAAAGAGUUGGUGUAGGUGGAGCUGUCAAGCAGAAAGGCGCAAAAGCUCCAAACAUAGAAAAUGAGAUGGAAGAUUGCGAGGAGUGUACCACAACUCUCUCUUUCUAUGUGUUCAAUGGAAGUGAUCUCUCCCAUAGUCCACAUGGUGGUAGAGAAUCUUAGAGCCACAUUGAAGCAUCUCCGAUGAAGGAGGAUGAGAACGCAUCAUGACGAGCGGAGACACCUCAGACAGAAAGUGUGCGGGCCACGAUAUGAGCCUAGUUCAGACCGCCUUAUGAUAACAGGCGAAGACACCUUAAAAAAGGUGUGAGAGCCACGAUAGGAGCCCCAGUUCAGAAUGCUCCAAAGCCAAUGUAAUGGUUGGAUAUGAGUGGACAAGUGUAUGGAUAGCCAAUGAAGUGGCUAUGAUGAGUAUGGAGACAAAUGCCAGAUUGACUUUCAUUGCCUCUAGGUUAAAGAUCAAUGAGCUAGAUAACAUAUGCCUUGGACAAUAAGUGGAUGACUUAUGGAGCAUUAAGACGCGACUGAUAAGAAUGAGCAGAGUACAUGCGCAAGUUCCGGGAAUAAGUUGACUCUUGUCAAGGUGGUGAGCUCGGUAAUGGCAUUGUAAUACUCAGAGUAUGAAGAAAGAUAUGGAUCAACCUUUAAUGGGCUGCCCCCAUGGUUAAAGGUGGAGAACUACCUGGACUCUUAGAACUAAAAGCGAGAGACUCAUGGAAAAGUAAGGUGUGGUUCCUAGAGUGGAACAGAGGGCAGACACAACUUCGGGAUGAGUAGAAUCUUGGAAGAGUGGUGAGCUCGUGAUCACAUUGAAAUACUCAGAUAAUGAAUGUCGCACUCGGAAAUAGAUAAUUCCAUUUGAGGGGGUGUUGUAAGCCUUGAUGUGAGGCUUGAUAAAUCAUUUCGGAUUGAGCAUGGUUAAUACGCUCGAAGGGGAAUUUUAUCCCAGAGACAAGCGUUAACACUCUUCAGAUGUAAUGUGACAGACCAUCUGGUUGUAGUGAUCCUUUUGUGUAAGAAAAGGUGUGCUUUGGUGACUCUGGUGAUUGAAAGGUUUGGCGAGUACCUGUAAACUUGGCCAAAGAUGCUCUCAGAAUGGUAAGCUUGGAAGAGUUGCAAGAUGCAAGCAUGUGCUGAAGAAGCAAGAGGACAAUUACCCACAUAAAUGGCAAAGGGGGUGAUUGUUAGAAUAUUACCAAUUAUGUGGCUGCCAUUGUCAAAGAAGAUGGCUGCCAUUGUCAAAGAAAAAAGGCCAACUUGUGAGAGUCAAAGAGAGUUGUUGAUGCAGCAUUUGCAGCCUUUUAACAUUGUCAAAGAAGGAGGCUAUAAUGGUGGGUUGUUGGUGGCAGCUGCUAAUGUCAAAAGAAGCUGCAACAACCAUUAACAAAGAGUAGCCACCAUUGUUGACAAAGGAGCAAGAGGAGUUGUUAUUGAAGCCUAUAAAUAGACACCAAGAGUGCAACACAAAGUGAGAGAGAGAGUCUUGUAGUAGAGCUACAAAAGAGAGAAGAAGAGAGAAAAAAAGAGAAGGGCUGCAACCAGCAGCCCUGCUGCCUUAUGCAGCUACUGCCCUAUGUAGCAAUGUGAGAUGGGAGUUGAGUGGAUGUGAUCCUCCUCCGUGUGUUGUAUUCUUUCUCUAUCUCUAAUAAUAUCGAUCUCUCCAGUGGAUGUAGGCGAUUUGCCGAACCACGUUAAAUAUUGUGUUAGUGUGCUUAGUCUCCUUUAAGCAAUGAUCAUGAACACCACCGUUCCGCAAGGGGGAGCAGAAAUCCCCAACAAUACAGAAGUUGCUUCUACCAGACGAUGCCAAUGGAGAAAACCCAGGUGUGGUUCCUGUUACAGGGUUAAAUUCGUCAGGCUGUAGGUUGACGAAAGUAUUGCUGGACAGUAGCUAUGAGGUGGCAGCCCGCAUGACGGUAGUGAAAAUCGGCAGCAUGCAACAGCAACGCAGCAGUGUGCUGACAAGAGCUGGAGACUUGGACUAUGGAUUGUCCAAGGCUCGAUGAAACAGUGCUGGAAUGACGUGAUGGGACAGUGUCGAAUUCGGCAGCAUUGAUGAGAUCAACAGCGUCGACAAAAUUGGCAGCAGGGGCUGACGAUAGGUCUAGGCGAUGGACAGUCCAUGACUGGACAUAAUACACUACUGGCAUGAAUGGCAGCACGCAUAGGUAGUGGCAACGUGCAUGGGCAGAUUCAGCAACAGUGUGCGUCAACGAUUCGACAGGACAUGGGUUGAUGUUCGACAGGAAUCCUAACUUAGACCAUGGACAGUCCAAGGCAUACAAACACCUACUCUGGCAGCGUGGAAGUUGGCAAAAGGGACAACUGGCUUGUUGGGUGGCAGGCUAUGGAAGAAGCAGCAAUUGCAGGCAAUUUUCGACAGUUAUCAGCAGUUUUCCAGGAGGCCAAACUGACCAGAACGUGGCCCAUGUCUUGGGAGGCAGUUAUGUUGUAUUAUUCCAUGUAAUAGGUUGUACAUAGGGUGUAGCAUGCAAUGUUCUGGUAGGCAGCAGAACACUUGUGCAUGGCACACACGCUAAUAAACUUGUGUAUCCUUUGUUGACGAGACUAAUGAAGGUUGGGAAUGUUUUCCUGUAAUAUCUUGUGUGCUUGGUUCUGUACAGCUUUGCUUGUGUAUUCCGCUUGUCUAUGUAAUGGGAGUGAGUGUGGGAAACCUCUUGGUGAGGGAAACACGAGUGAGGUGAGGGAAAGGCUGAGUCUAGCUAGUCAUCAACCUCCUGUCACGACCCGAUCCCCGGAUCCAUGACUGGCACAUAGGCAAGGUUCCCCUCCAAGGUUCCAUACCUAUGCGAACCCAAACUUACACACAAACUUAUCCUAACUCAAUUAGAGUUCAACGCAGCAUUAAUAACAAAAUCAACUUCAUAAUAUAAUUGAAUUGUCUUAAUACAAGAGUUUAUAUAAGUUCAGAGUUUUGGAGCACUAACUAGACAUAAAGGAAAGGUACCAAGUACAACCAAAAAGCAGGUUCUGAAGGUCCAACAAAAUGACCUGUUAUUAAGCUAUAAGCCUGAAAAGGAUAAAUAAUGAGAUGGUGAGUUCAACAACUCAGUGAGUAGAUAACGUUCAAUACACACACACAAGGUAAUACAGCAAUGAGAAAUAUAUAUACAAUUGGCUUUAGGUUCUUAUGGAAGUUUUCUCAAAUUGGCCAUAACAAGAAGAUCAUAUGGUAAAACUCGUCAGAAAAUCAAAAUGCAAUGAGCAUGAGGCUCCGUACUGUGGGAUGAUCAGUCCACACAGGUUGGUGACUCCCCCGACCAACUAGGGUUCAGAUACGAUGUGCACAAAGACUAACACUACCCUGUUAGCAUGGGUAUUCUGACUGACAUACCAUAGGUUUAUAAUCAUAAUCAAACAGACAUAUUCAUAUCUCAAGGCUCAACUCAUGACAUCAAUCAAAUGAGGAGCUAUCAAUUCAGAAGUCAAUUCAUAAUAUAUAUACUGGUUCAUAUCAAUAAUUCGGAUUCAACAAUUGAUCAUGCUUAUCAUAACAAGGAUAAUAAUCAACAUAUAUAUUAUCAAGAAGCAUGAUCCAAUUCAUAUUAACAAAUCAAAUAUUUAUAAUAUUUCUCAUGCAUAUGGAAAAUUAUCCACUCACCUGACUCAAAAGCAAACAGAAGCCAAAAGCAGACACCGAAGAAAAUCCUACUGACGUCCCGCCGGUAGAAUAUCAGGAUUAUCUGAAUAUAAAGGAGACAUAUUUAAGAACGACUCGAAAGAACAUUUAACCUAUUUAAUAAACUUAACUAAUAAUGUAUUCCGUAACCCUAUAUGUUUUUGAACUAACUAGUCAAUUUUCUCAAAAACCCAAAAUUUAACGGUUUUUUCCGAAAUCUAAUCCAUAAUAAAACAACUAAUAAAAUUGGCAAUAAUUCACUAAAUAACCCUUAAUUAUUCAUCAAACUAAUCUGCAAAAGCUAAUAUUACAGAUAGGGAAUAAUCUGUAAUUUAUCCUAUUUUUAAGGGUCAAAUUGCAACUUUUGUCUAAUUGAAGGACCAAACUGAAAUUUAUCAUAAAUCCAUGAAUAUACUGAAAUUCUGACCAUAAUUAGUCCUCAUUUCUGUCCAGAUCAUCUCAUUAUACUCCAAGGACCAUUCUGGAAUUUUACCAAAUUUUUAGGGUCAAAUUGUAUUUUUUGCCAAAUUGGAGGACUAAAUUGAAAGUGUUAAAUUCUCUUAUCUAUACAGUAAUUCUGUCCAUAAUUCAUAUGUUAUUCUGUUCAGAAUCUCGGAAUAGGCUCCAGGGACCAAUCUGCAAAUUUUCCAAAGUUUGGGGACUAAACUGUAAUUUUCCAAAAUUGAGAGACCAAACCGAAAUUUUGUCAUCUUCAACCUCCAACCCAGAAUUCCAACAGAAAACCCACUGUUCUUUCCUUAUUUCUAACACAAAUUCACCAUUCAAACAAAAUCAUAACUCAAAAUCAUCAUCUUUCAAUUCAAUCUCUCAAAUUCAACCAAAUAAUCAAAUACCCACAACAAUUAACCCUACAACAUCCAAAUUAACUCAUAAAUCAAACUCAAAACACAAAUUUCAUAACCCUAACAUUUAUCAAAAUCAAAAUUAAAGCUUAAUUAACACAUAUUUAUACAUAAUCUUACCUUUUUACUUAUUUCCUUCAAUUCCUUUCUAUUUCCCUUCUAAUUUCCCUCUUUUCUCUUCUUCUUCUUUCUCCCUUUCUCUCCUGCCGGUUCUCUCUCAAAAUUCAGAUCCCUCUUUCCUCUUUUUUUUUUACUUCCUAUUUAUAUAUAUUAUCUCUUUAUACAAUUAUUAUUAUACCCCUCAUUUAAUUUAUUCCUACAUCUAAGCAUUCAAGGGCCUUGUUGCCAUUUCCUAUCUUUUAAUACAAAACAUUACACCUCCGAGGACAGAUUUCUCUCUAAGGUCUGUUUUUGGGAUAAAAAAUUGACCCUGUGACAGUUCCCAUAGUGGGAAUGGGCGGGGUUGGUAAAACCACGCUUGCUCAGCUUGUAUACAAUCACAGCAGAGUACAAGAGUGGUUCGGUCUCAAAGCUUGGGUUUGUGUUUCAGAAGAUUUCAGUGUUUCGAAGUUAACUAAGGUUAUCCUUGAGGGGUUCGGUUCAAAGCCUGCUUUUGAUAAUCUGGAUCAGCUCCAGCUUCAGUUGAAGGAGAGAUUGCAGGGAAAGAAAUUCUUGCUUGUUUUAGAUGACGUUUGGAAUGAAGAUUAUGAUGAAUGGGAUAGGUUUCUUACCCCCCCUGAAGUACGGAGCACAAGGGAGUAAGAUUCUUGUCACAACACGCAAUGCAAGAGUAGCAUCAGCCAUGAGCACUGGUCCAACUCAUCAUCUAAAAGAAUUGACGGAAGACAGCUGCUGGUUUGUGUUCGCCAAACAUGCAUUUCGUGGUAAAAAUCCCAAUGUUUAUGAAGAGUUGCUAGAGAUUGGAAGAGAAAUAGGGAGAAAAUGUAAAGGCCUUCCUCUAGCUGCAAAAACACUCGGAGGUCUGCUAUGCACCAAGAGAGAUGUCGAGGAGUGGGAGAAGAUAUUGGAAAGCAAUCUAUGGGAUUUACCCAAAGGCAAUAUCCUCCCAGCCUUGAGAUUAAGUUAUCAUUAUCUCCUGCCACAUCUGAAGCAGUGUUUUGCUUAUUGUGCCAUAUUUCCAAAAGACUAUUCAUUUCGAAAGGAUGAAUUAGUGCUCCUGUGGAUGGCAGAGGGCUUCUUAGUCCACUUUGUAGAUGAUGAGAUGGAAAGAGCAGGUGCUGAGUGCUUUGAUGAUCUCUUGUCAAGGUCGUUUUUCCAGCAAUCAAGCUUAUCAUUUGUGAUGCACGAUCUCAUGCAUGACUUGGCUACCCAUGUGUCCGGUCAAUUUUGCUUCAGCUCCAGGUUGGGGGUAAAUAAUUCUUCCAAGGCCACAAGAAGGGCUCGACAUUUUUCACUCGUAGUAGAUACGGAAGACACGGAUGGUGAAGAUACCGAAGAUGGAGAUACGGAAGGUGUUUUUUCAAGCACAAAAUUAGAAAACAUUAGUGCAGCCCAGUUUCUACGCACAUUCCAAACUUAUCCACACUAUUUGAGGUGUCCUCCCGAAUUUUAUAAUGAGAUCUUUCAGUCAACACUUGGGCGCCUACGAGUGCUAUUCAUGACUGGUUGUAGAGAUGCAACUUUGAAGUUUUGUUCAACUAACAAGUUGAAGCAUUUGCGGUAUUUGGAUCUUUCCUUUUCACAGUUCUUAGUAACGUUGCCUGAAGAAGUGAGUGCUCUUCUCAAUUUGCAAACGUUGAUCUUGCAAGAUUGCUCCAAACUUGCUAGUCUACCUUAUUUUGGAAAUUUGAAGAAUCUUGAAGGAACAAGAAUCGAAAGGUUGCCUGAAUCUCUAGAAAGGUUUAUCAACUUGCGGUAUCUUAACAUCCAAUAUACGCCUUUGAAAGAGAUGCCACCACAUAUAGGUCAACUGACAAAGCUCCAAACGUUGACUGACUUUAUUGUGGGAAGACAGAGUGAGUCUAUCAUUAAUGAAUUGGAAAAGCUACGACAUCUACGGGGAAAACUGUAUAUUCGGGUCCUUCAAAAUUUGGUGGAUGCUCGGGAUGAUGUUGGAGCAAAUUUGAAAGGUUUAAAGCACCUUGAUCAGCUGUUUCUCAUUUGGGAUGGUGACACUCAUAACGUGGAACACGUAACAAGCACGCUUGAGAAAUUAGAGCCAGAUGGAAAUGUGAAGUAUCUUGAGAUUGAUGGUUAUGGAGGUAUAAGGUUUCCGGAGUGGGUAGGAAACUCCUCUUUCUCAAAAAUAGUGUCCUUGAAGCUCAGUAGAUGUAAAAACUGCACCACCUUACCACCGCUCGGGCAAUUAACUUCUUUAGAGGAUCUCUCAAUUGAAGAAUUCGAUAAAGUUGUGACUGUGGGCUCUGAGUUCUAUGGGAAUUGUACACAAGAAGCCAUUUGAAUCCCUCAAAUGUCUAUUUUUUAAAAGGAUGCCAGAGUGGCGCGAGUGGAUUUCAGACGAAGGCAGCCGGGAAGCCUUCCCUCUUCUUGAGAAGCUUUACAUCCAACAAUGCCCCAACCUUGCAAAGGCCCUUCCUAGUCACCACCUUCCACGUGUAACAAGACUUGUAAUUAAAGAAUGUAAGCAGCUCGCGACUCCACUUCCUAGGUUUCCGAGGUUGCAGUCUCUCUCUGUUUCUGGAUCCCACUCCCUAGAGUCCCUACCCGAGGAACUUGAGCAAAUGGGUUGUUCACCCUCUGAUUUAGGGCGAAUUACAAUCCAGGGCGAAUUACAAUCCAGGGCUGCGCUUCUCUCAAAUGCGUCGCACUGGACUUGCUCCCCAAGUUAAAUUAUCUUUCUAUCUGUGACUGUUCAGAUCUUGAAUCACUAUGUGCACAUGAAAGACCUCUCAAUGAUCUCAAUUCUCUCCAUUAUUUGUUUAUCGAGAAGUGCCCUAAAUUAGUUUCAUUUCCCAAAGGAGGAUUACCUGCUCCAGUCUUAACACGACUUGAGUUAGAAGAUUGCAGGAACUUGAAGCUGUUGCCUGAGAGUAUGCAUUCCCUCCUCCCAUCCCUUUCGCAUUUGGAAAUAAAAGAUUGUUUAGAAGUUGAGUUGUGUCCAGAAGGGGGUUUUCCCUCCAUAUUACAAUCACUUGUCAUUUGUAGAUGCGACAAACUCAUUGCUGGCCGCAUGCAAUGGGGCUUGCAAACGCUCCCUUCUCUUUCACACUUUACAAUCGGUGGCCUUGAAAAUAUUGAAUCCUUCCCUGAAGAGAUGCUUCUGCCCUCAAGUCUUACAUCUCUUAAAAUCCAUUCCCUAAAACACCUGAAAUCUCUUGACUACAAGGGGCUUCAACACCUCACCUCUCUUAGAAAAUUGCAUAUAAAUUACUGCCCUAGGCUUGAGUCCAUGCCAGAAGAAGGGUUGCCCUCCUCCCUUUCUACUCCUCUUUAUAUUUACUUUUGUCCUAUGGUUGAGUCAAUGCCAAAAGUAGGGUUGCCCUCCUCCCUUUCUACUCUUAGAAUUAACGAUUGUCCUAUGCUGGGUGAACGUUGUGAAAGGGAGAAAGGUAAAGAUUGGCCCAAGAUUUCUCACAUUCCUCACAUAAAAAUUAUGUAUUGAUGGCUAUUGAUUUUUCCAACAUCAGCGGAGCCAAAAAGGAGGUAUUGCCACUAAAUAGUUUAUUUUCUUUUCAGUAAUCAAAGGCAAUUUCAGUAAAAAUUUGUCCUUUUCCACUAUUAAUUCUAUGCUUAUUUUUGGCAGGAUCCAAAUCCAACUUUGCACUUACAGUUCAUGAAGGGUUUGUCACCCCUUCCUUCUUGCCAGAACAAUAUGCACAGGAUAAAAUUGAUCUGUUUGCUCCCUCAGGUAUGACUCAUUGUGAACUUUUCCAUUCGAUGUUCUUUCUCAGUUACUCUGUAUUUCUCCACCAUUAUUAAUUCUUUGCAAUUUCAUGUCAGAUUACCACUUGCCCAUUGCAGAGUGGAGCACCAUGGUUUCACAAAACAAGAUUGCUUUGCAUUGUUUAGCUAUUUGUGUAUUAUACGUAUCAUUUUCAUGCUCUUGGUCUAAAUCCUCCAUUGUUUCUUUGCAGGAUUCUGAUCCAAAUUUUCUUCUACAAGCAUGGGCGGCCCAUAAGUUUGGAUGAAUGAAAUACAGAUAUUUUCUUCAUAUUGUCUGUCAUUCAUCAUUCUAUUUCAAUAUAUUUUUUGCUAUAAUUAAUUUUUAAAGUUGAUUUGAUUAGUAUUGUACUUUUCUCAUUCUAACAUUUGUGGUUAGAACAAGGUAAUUUUCACUGGAGUGUCAUUUUGGGAUGAGAUGAUUUUGGUUCAAAUUCCAUAAAUUGUUUCUUAAAAAAAAAUAACAAUUUAAACAAGACAAGGAGAAUGAUCUAUAGGAGCGGUGAACCUUUGGCUUCUUUCCUUUGAAUCCAAAUUCAAAUCCUGUUCUGCUGCAAAUAAACAUCACAUGCUUCAGAUUUUGAAUUUAGUAAUAGAAAAUCCAUUGCUAGAAAGGAUUAAAAAAAUAUUGAAUUAUUUAAGUGAUCUGCAACUGAUUUUUCAUUGUUGACGCGGCAAGAUCAAAUCUGCAACUGAUUCAAAAAAUAAAUUAAACCCUUAAUUAUAUAAAAUCUCCCUUCUCUCCUUCUCUCCUUUUCUGCAUCUUCAAAAAUUCAAAUUUUUUUCUCCAUCUCUUUCUCUAGUCCAUUCGCCUUCUUCAAAAAUUCAAAAUCCAAAAAAUUUUGAUUUAUCUUUUUUUAUUAUUAUUUAACUUUGAUUAAAAAAAAUUUAUUCCAUAUAAAGCUGAAGUUAAAAAAUAAUUUUGGAGCGUAGGAAAGGCCCUUUCUAAUAAAAUUUAUUUCAUGGUGUUCAGGAAUAAUUAAUAAUAUUUUAUUAGUUAUUUUUAAAAUUUAUUUUCAUAAAACAAAUAAAUACAAAAAGAAAAAAUAAUAUAAAAUUCACCCGCGUUUUGGAAUCACAAUUCAGAAGCAAGUGAAAGUGGCCAAUGUCACUCAAGAGAGCAGGCACUUGCAAAUCUACUAAUGAUUUGUUUGGCAUGGUGUUGGUAAAUUGUUUUUGAAAAAAUUUAAAUUUAUUUUUAUUUUAAAUUAAUAUAUUUUUUUAUGUUUCUAUAUUAAAAUAUUAUUUUAAUAUAUUUUAAAAUAAAUAAUACUUUGAAAAAUAAUCAAAUAAAUAUGGGAGCAUCACCCUUUCGCACAAUCAACAGAAAGGAUUAAAGCACAGAAAGUCAUCAUCUCGAGAACUCACAGCAAAGAGUUCAAUGUUGUAGUAGAUAUGUAGCUAUAUUAAAAACAUUAAUACUUCCAGCAUGCACAAAUGCGACUUCUUAAUAGUUAAUAUUGGAAAAAUUAAAUUUCCUUUUCUAAUUAAAUGAAAAUCUCUACUAAAUAUUAUGCUAUUUGAAUUUUCACCUCAUGACUACAAGCUGCACUGCACUCAUGGAUGCUUCACCAGGAUAAAGCUACAAAUGUCAGUUUAAUAUCUGCCUCUACCUAGGUCGGCCGACAAUAUUACCAAAGCUUCUCUCCUACAAAUGUCAGUUUUUAAAAUCUGCCUCCACCUAGGUCGGCCUGCAAUAGAAUACCAAAGCUUCUCUCAACUAAAUCAAGACAUGAUGACUAGCACUCGCAACCAUAACAGAACCAAUGGAAGCGAACUACUACAUAUUUGAUCAACAAGGUCAAAUUCAGUCGAGUUUUUAAGGAAAUCCAGUGAAAGAGGAACCUAAAAUACUACAUGAUUGUGGAAUAGAAAGUUUAACGGCCUUAAUUGAAUUGUUUCAGUCACUAUUUUUUCAGUCACAAAGUAACAAUUUCUGUAUCAACUCUUCUCUUCUUCUUCUUCUUCUAUCACAUCUCAAUGGAUUGCAACAGAUUGUAACAGCCCCUGUAGUUUCUCUGUUUUGAAUUAUUCAAAUAAGUUGCACAGAUUGCAACAGCCCUUAAAGAUAGGAAGCAGUUUUGAACUGCUCUAUAGUUUAGGAUUUCAAAACAAAUGUUCGUUAUCAUGUAUGUGUAUUUAACUGCUGCAAAAUGUAAAUGAAAAAUAUGAUUGAUUUCAUCAUUCCUUUAUGGUAUCAGAGCACUAAACCGAUCCACUUUAUUUUUAUCUUUUCUUUUCUUUUUCCUUCCCUUGUUCAUUACCACUCAUGGCUACAGAGUCUAAUCCUGCAACCAUUCUCAACACCAAUGAAUCACACCAAACUCUCAUCAGCAUCAAUGUUGCUGCUCAAGCCCCUCUCAAACUCAACUCUACCAAUUACCUCUCUUGGAAACUUCAAUUCCAAACCUUAUUCAUUGGAUAUGAUCUUCUUGGCUAUAUUGAUGGCUCCAAACCAUGCCCGCCAGCUACCUUGACUCAAGCCAAUACCACCAUUUCCAAUCCCAAUUACACUCUAUGGAUCCGCCAGGAUUAAUUGAUUCUCAACGCUGUUAUUGGCUCCAUUUCACCUACUAUUAUACCUUUCAUUGCUCAAGCCACCACCUCUAGCCAAGCCUGGACAAUUCUAGCAAAUACCUAUGCUAAACCCUCUCGUGGUCGUAUUAAACAAAUCAAAAACCAACUCAAAAACACCACCAAAGGCUCCCUUGGCAUCACUGAAUUUAUGCAAACUAUCAAAACGCGAGCAGAUGAUCUUGCUCUUCUUGGUGCCUCCCUUGAUGCAGAAGAAAUCACGGACAAAAUACUUGAUGGUCUCGGUGAUGAUUACAAGGAAUUAGUUCGUGCUGUCCAGGCCAGAGAUACCUCCAUCACAUUUGUAGAACUUCACGAAAAACUUCUCAAUUUUGAGGCCUCCCUUCAACAUCUCCCAUCUGAGCCACACCAUUUUCCAGCUACAGCCAAUCCCACAUAUCGAACCAACACCAAAAAUUGGCGUCCUUCUCCACCUCGUAACAAUACCACAAACUAUUGGCGCCCAUCCUACAACUUUUCCAACCGCUCACCUAUUGUACCCAUUACAAGACCCAUUUCAGCACCGGCCUCUCGUCCUCACCACAAACCAUACCUUGGUCACUGUCAAAUUUGCAGGAUUCAGGGUCACACUGCCAAUCGGUGCCCUUCCUAUCGCCUUGUACCCAUUCAUCCUUUACCCACUUCCAGCACUCCCCAACAAGGAACACCCUGGCAACCACAAGCUCACCUUGCCACCCAUCCCUCCACCACGCCAUCCUGGCUUUUAGACAGUGGUGCUUCACACCAUGUCACCUCAGAUCUAAACAACCUCUCCCUGCAUGCUCCAUAUAGCGGUACUGAUGACAUCAUGAUCGGAGAUGGAUCCACUCUUCCCAUCACUCAUACUGGUUCCACCUCUCUCACCACUCCUCUCCAUACAUUUCAAUUACACAAUGUUCUUUGUGUUCCCUCUAUGGAAAAGAACCUCAUCUCUAUUUCACAAUUCUGCACUUCUAACAAUGUUUCCAUAGAAUUCUUACCAUCAACUUUUCUUGUUAAGGAACUUCAUACCGGGACAACACUGCUACAGGGACAGACUAAAGAUGGUGUCUAUGAGUGGCCCUCUUCCUCUCCUUUCAUUGCUUUCUCAACAAUAAAGCCCACGUCCUUCGACUGGCAUCAUCGCCUAGGCCAUCCAGCUUUUUCAAUUCUCAGACAUAUUGUCUCUAGCAAUCAUUUAGGCUUGUCUUCCUCCUUAUCUUCCAAUUACUCAUGUAAUGCGUGUCUUUGCAAUAAAAGCCACAGGCUGCCCUUCUCCAACUCUACAAUUGUCUCCACCAAACCGCUUGAAAUUAUAUUCUCUGAUGUGUGGACCUCGCCAAUUUUCUCUCAUAAUGGCUUUAAAUAUUAUGUAAUAUUUAUUGAUCAUUUCACUAAAUAUAUCUGGUUUUACCCACUCAAAAACAGAUCUGAUGUCAAAGAAGUUUUCAUUCGAUUCAGAGCCAUUGUCGAAAAACACUUUAAUUCCACCAUUAAAACACUCUACUCUGACAAUGGUGGUGAGUAUAUCUCUCUAGCUAAUUUUCUUUCCACCAAUGGUAUCUCUCAUCUCACAACUCCCCCUCACACGCCUGAACAUAAUGGUUACUCUGAAAGACGACAUCUUCACAUCGUUGAAACUGGUCUAGCCCUACUCACGCAUGCUUCUUUACCCCAUUCCUACUGGACUUAUGCAUUUUCCACAGCUGUCUAUCUCAUUAAUAGAUUGCCGACUCCCACUUUAAACUUGUCCUCACCCUACCACAAAAUAUUUCAAACAGCCCCAAACUACUCCAAGUUACGCAUCUUCGGCUGCCUAUGCUACCCUUGGCUCCGCCCUUACACCUCCCAUAAACUUGAAUCAUGGUCCAAGCCAUGUGUUUUCCUUGGGUAUUCUCUUACUCAAAGUGCAUACUAUUGCCUUGAUCCUUCCACCUCCAGAAUCUACGUCUCAAGACAUGUCAAAUUUAUUGAGUCACAGUUUACCUUCUCUUCACUAUCUGGUUCAUCCUCUACUUCCCUUUCCAAUCCCAUCACUACUUGGAUUCCUGCACCAAUUACAGUUCUUUCACCCGCUUCAGAACCACCACUCCCUAUGCCAUCUGCAGUUUUCAAUACUCAGCAACCCCAAAGUGCAGCUCCCCCAUCCAACCCCAUUCAGCUUCCAACCACCAUCGCCACCCAUACAACCUCCCCUUCCAUAACAUCUUCAACAGGUACAACCUCAACCCUCCAUUCCCCACCUAAAACUCCUACCCUUCCCACUCAUUCUAUGACCACUCGCGCUAAAAACAACAUUCACAAACCCAUCACUAAGCUGAAUCUUCAUACCCGACUAUCCACUUCCAGUGAUCUAGAACCAACCACCGUGACUAAAGCCCUUCUUGAUCCCAGGUGGCGUCAAGCUAUGUCUGCUGAAUGUGAUGCCUUAGUCAGAAAUGGAACAUGGGAACUUGUUCCACCAGAUUCUUCACAGAAUAUAGUUGGAUGUAAGUGGAUAUUUCGGAUUAAACGUAACACUGAUGGUUCUAUUGAUAGGUUCAAAGCACGUUUAGUCGCAAAGGGGUUUCACCAAAGACCUGGUGUUGACUAUCUUGACACAUUCAGCCCUGUAGUAAAACCAACAACAGUGCGUGUGGUCCUCAGCCUUGCAGUUUCUCGGGGAUGGACUUUACGCCAACUUGAUAUCAACAACGCUUUCCUUCAAGGCCAUCUCUCUGAGACUGUACACAUGCAACAACCACAAGGUUUUGUUGAUCAAGAUCAUCCAUCCUAUGUCUGCAAACUUCGAAAGGCAAUCUAUGGCCUCAAACAAGCACCUAGAGCAUGGUAUCAUGAACUUCGCACUUUUCUACUUCACUCAGGUUUCAAAAAUUCUCAUACGGAUACAUCAUUAUUUGUUCUCAAUACUGCUGGAAAGAAAAUGUAUAUCCUGGUUUAUGUGGAUGGCUUAAUAAUUACUGGUGACCACACUACCAUGAUCGACUCCUUUGUGGUUGUUCUUGCUCAUCGGUUUUCCAUUAAAGAUCUUGGACAGUUAUCGUGUUUUUUAGGCGUGGAGGUAGUUCACAAUCAGCAUGGAAUUUUGUUAUCUCAAAGGCGUUAUAUUUUGGAUAUUCUAGCUCGAACUCAUAUGGCAGAUGCAAAACCUGUGUUCACUCCUAUUCCAACUAGUCCACCUUUGUUAAAAUCAGGCACUGCGUUGCCUGAUCCCUCUGAGUACAGAACGAUUGUUGGCAGCCUUCAAUAUCUCUUGAUUACCAGACCAGAUCUUGCAUUUGCAGUUAACAAGCUCUCUCAGUACAUGCACACUCCAACAACUGAUCAUUGGAGCUUUGUUAAACGCCUCUUACGCUAUCUAUGUGGCACUAUUAAUGAUGGCCUCCAAAUACAUCGCAGGUCUCCAUUAAAUCUACAUGCCUAUUCAAACGCAGAUUGGGCGGGUAACAAAGAUGAUUUCUCAUCUACCAGUGCCUAUGUCAUAUAUCUUGGUCGCAAUCCCAUUUCAUGGAGUUCUAAGAAACAGAAAACUAUUGCAAGAUCUUCAACUGAAGCGGAAUACAGGUCAGUAGCAAAUGCAGCAGCUGAGCUCAACUGGCUUUGCUAUCUUCUGUCUGAUCUAGAUGUUCAACUUCCGUGUUGUCCGGUCUUAUACUGUGACAAUGUUGGAGCUACCCAACUCUGCUCCAAUCCUGUUUUUCACUCCAAAACGAAACAUGUUGCCAUCGAUUAUCACUUCAUCAGGGACCAAGUACAAAAUGGUGUCCUUCGUGUUGCCCAUGUAUCCUCAGCAAAUCAACUUGCUGAUGCACUGACCAAGCCUCUUCAUCGUAUCCGUUUUCUAGAUCUCAAAUCCAAGAUUGGACUUCUAUCUCGAGCUCCAUCUUGAGGGGGCAUAUCACAUCUCAAUGGAUUGCAACAGAUUGUAACAGCCCCUGUAGUUUCUCUGUUUUGAAUUAUUCAAAUAAGUUGCACAGAUUGCAACAACCCUUAAAGAUAGGAAGCAGUUUUGAACUGCUCUAUAGUUUAGGAUUUCAAAACAAAUGUUCGUUAUCAUGUAUGUGUAUUUAACUGCUGCAAAAUGUAAAUGAAAGAUAUGAUUGAUUUCAUCAUUCCUUUAUCUUCUACUUCUUCUCUCUUAUUCCUUUCUAAAGACAGAAAGACAGAAGAUAAGGCUGGAUUAGGGUUAAACACAAAAAAUUCUAAAACCGUAUUUUAUUUUUUAAUUACUAUUAUGUUCAAGUCGGCCUCUUGAAAAGGUUUACGCUAAAAAAAUUGACCUACACUAGAGAACAAAAUUAGAAUCCCUAAACAUAAAGAAAAUUAGCAUAAAAUCCGAAAUAAACAAUAAAUCUAAAAAUAUCAGAUGAUGCUGGUCCGUGUUUGCCAAACAUGCAUUUGGUUAUGAAAAUCCCAUUGCUCAUGAAGAGUUACGGGAAAUUGGUAGAGCAAUAGUGAGGAUUGUCUGAUGUUCACCUAUAAUUGUAGCUGAAGAAAAGCUAGAAAUGAAACUGCCUGUAUUGGAAGUGAAACUGCUUGCCUACAAUAUAUGUGAACAUUCUAUGGCUUUGUUGCCGCCUUCUAGCCUUUCGGUGUUGCACGGUGCUGCUGCUUUUUGGCUUUUGAUUUCAUACACUAUCAGAAAAUUGAUAAAUACAAACGGAAAUAUCAAGGAAAUAUUUCUGUCGGUAAAUUUUUGAGGGAUUUUACCGACAGAAAUAUUCCCCGGUAUAUACCGAGGGAAUUACCGUGGGAAAAAAAUUAAAACAAAGCAAAAAAAAUGAUGACGUGUCAUUUUUACCAACAGAAUUACCGACGGAUUUUUCAAUUCCGUCAGUAUUUUCCAAAGAGCUCCAAAAUUAUUCACUUUCCAAUUGCACUGUUAAUUGUUAUUCUUUACGGACAAAAUCACCGACGGAUUGAAAAGUCGUCGAUAUUAUUUGGCGGUUUUCUGAAAAAAUUCAAUUAAUUUAAAAUUUUCAUUUAAAUAUUACAGACGGAAUCACCGACGAAUUGAAAAAUUAUCGGUAAUUGUUGGCGAUUUCUGAAAAAAUUUUACAAAAUUGAAAAUUUAAAUUAAAUAUUACCGAUAAAAUUGCCGAUGAAAUAAUUAAAAAAUAUUAAUAUUCAAUUAUUUGUCGCUAACGCGCCUCAAUAAAAAGCCUGAAUCCCUUUAUUUCAGACUUAUUUCUUAUUAUUCUUCUACUUCUACUUCACUAUAUGUAAAAAACAUCAAUAUCUAUUUCUUUCUCUUCUUUUCUCUCCUCACCUCCUUAUCUUUUUCUCCAUACUUGGGUAUGUCUUCUUCUUCUUUCUUCUUUUAUCCUCUUAGUUUUUUUUUUUUAAUUAAUAUGCUUUACGAAAUUUUUUCUCUCUCCUUAGCUUCACUUGCAACUACAUUAAGGUAAGAUUUUUCUUUUUUCUUCUUUUUUCAUGAUUUUUUUCACUAUAUUUGUUUUUUAUUUUAUUUUUAAUUGUUUUUGUUCUUAAUAAUUAUAUAAAUGUUGUUGUGAGAUUUUUUUUUCAUAUGAGAUCAAGUUUUAGUUGAUUUAUUUAUAGGAUUUUUAAAUUUUUAGCAAUUGCAACUUCAUUUUUUUCAUAUGAAUUUUUUUAGUUGAAUUUAUUUUUUCAUUUUAUUUAUUUUUUGCAAAUUUGUUUGAGUUGAUUUUCUUAUUCUUUUUUUCCAAGCAUUUUGAGUAUAUAUUAUAGAGUGUUGAUUUAUGUUAAUUUAAUUAUUUUAUAAUUUUUUAAAAUGAAUAUUUUAAAAAUAUUUUUAAAUUAUUACCGACGGAUUUAUUGACGGAAUAGACGUGUCGGUAAUAAUAUUUUUUUAUUACCAACGGAUUUACCGACGGACAAAAAAUUACCGAUGAAAGAUGCACAGACAGAGCAUUUCUGUCGGUGAUUUUGUUGGUAAAUUAAUUACCAACGGAAUAUGUAUCUUACGCCGAUAGAAAAAUUCCAUCGAUAAAAUUGUUAAAUGUUGUAGUGAUAGAAAUGUUGUUCCCUCUCAUCCCUGGUGUUACAUAGGCAGCUGCUGGCUCCUCUUGUAUCUUUUGGGUUCUGGCUUCGUUUGGUUCAUGCCAUUGUCUGCUCUCCGGUUGUCGAAGCUGACAGCAAUCCUCCAACUCUGUUCUCAUAGUCAGAUGCUUCCUCUGUUUUCUCCUGGCAUUGAAAUUACAGCUCUCCCUCAAAUUUUAUUGAUGAUGUGCCUUUGGUCAUCUUAAUAGCUCUUUUUUUCUUGGGAUAUUUCAUUUGAUUCCUUUUUUCUCUUUUAUUUUAAUUAUUAUCUUCAUAGUUUUAACAUUAAGUCUCUUUGAAAAUAGAAGCAGCCUAUCUUUUAUAUUUGUAAAUCUUGUUCCAAGAGAGAGAGUAGAAGUUUAUUAAAGAAAAAUGUACAUUCUCAUUCGUCACAUUCCUUGUUCGUUUAUAUAUGAAAUGUUUUUUGUUUUUCAAUAAGCGAAUCUUCAAUCGGAAGGGAAAUUAUUUUAGUGAAUAGUGUAAUGGAACUAAAUUUUGGUUAAUUUAUAAUAAAUUUAAAUAGCUUGAAAGUGAAGCUCAUCUUCUAUUUAGUUUUCUCAAAUAUAUAAUUUUAAAAUAAAUUACUUUUAAAAUAAUUUUGAGUAAAUUUGACAUUAACUUUGUUGGAUGAAUUCCAAACCUAUAAUUUGAAACCAAAUGUUUGUAUAUUUUUUUUGUAAAAGACUAAUUUGAAAAAAAAAAUUCUAAAAAAAAUGACAAAGAGUUUUUAAAAAUUCAAGAACUAAUGAAAAAUUACUUUUUUGUCGACAAGGGUGCCUCCUUUUAAGUUGCCACCCACCUUGAUGUGGCUCCAUGUUCCACUCCAAACCAUUCAUAUAGGUAUCUUAAAUAGUGUAGCCUGAGCUUCACCGGUUAUGUUUUUAAUAUAUUUUUAAAUAAAAUAUAUUUUUAAAAAAUAUUAAAAAAAAAACUAACAUUAUUAUACUGUCAAACAGAUAAUCUCAUUGCAUCUAACGCUUUAAAUUCCAACAAUGAGUACCCGAUUAAACAAUAUCUACAUUCAAUUAAAACUUAUGGUAUCAUUCCUUGACAGCGAAAUAAAGAAAAGGAGACAGAGAACCGUACUUUCAGAAGACCAUGACACAAAUCGACGGUUGAAAUCCAAUCACUCAAGGGAUGGUGACACGUUGUCAUGAGUGGGAGACAGCUGGUCUCUAGUACGAAGAGAAACAACAGCGUUUUUAUUGUUUAAAUUUAGAGUGUUUGUUUUUCGGAGUGUCUUUGUUCUCGUGAUAGCUCCUGUGAUGAUGGGUAUCUUAGUAAUUGUAAAAACAAUUGAUUUUUUUUUUGAUGAAGUUGUCCGUGUGGAUGAGAAAAUACUGAGUUUGUAGCUUAGUAAAAACAUGUUGAUGUUACUUUUUAUUAGCCCAUGGUUGGCCCGUAAAUUGUAAUGGGUCCCACAAUCACAAACCUAUGAUUCACAUGUAACUAAAUAUCUUGUUUUUGUUAUCUGCAUUAAAAAUGCAAGAGCUGCUAAAAAAACAAACAUAUUUGAUCGUUGAACAUGUUUUUAAAUUGUUUUCUUAAUUAUUUUUUAUUUAAAAAAACAUUAAUAGAUGAAGUUUAAUAAUUAUUUUAUAAAGAAGUUUUGGAAUAAAAUGAUCUAUCUGCAUGAAAAACAAGGUCAUUUUUACAGGUGGAAGAUAAAACCAAUAAGACCUAAUCCUAUUGAACUGCAUCUUGUUAUUCAAAGCAAACAAUCAGUAUCUUUAAUACUGAUUAAGGAUAUUUUUAUUUUUGCAAUUCAACUGUAAUUUCUAAUAUAAUGAUUUUUUUAUUAUAACUUGCUCCACAAUUAAUCUUUUAGAGUUAAACAAAUACUACGCAACAUUCUAGAAUGUGUAAUGAAGUUUUUAUAAUAUUCAUAGCAAUGGUCAUCAGCUAAUUUAUAAUUUAUUUAUCUACUUUAUCAAUUAAUAAAAGUGAUAAAAGAAAAGGAGAGAAGAAAUAAAGUGAAGUCUUCUUCUGCAUUAUUAGCACAUCACGUGAAAAGAAAGAUUGGCAUUUAAUAAAAGUUAUUCCAAUCAAAUAAAGCAAGGACAAACCAAGUUACUCCAUUUUCCUCUCACUUUUUCAACCGAUGGGGUGUCUUGGCAAAUAAAGCAAGGACAGACCGAGUUGACGCGCUCCCUAACUCCAUUUUCCUGGCCCGCGCAAUUCACGCAUACACAAACACAUCCGGAACAAUAUUCAUAAAAUUAAUUAACAUCCCGUAAAAAUAUACUUUAAUACAGUAUAAGGCUUCCCGUCUACCUCUGUCUUUUCAUAAUUUCGAUCCUCUAAUCAUGUAUUUUCAGUCUAAAAUAUAGUAUAAAACUUUUCUAUACCCAAGAUCCUCUAAUACUAAUAAGACUGAAAAUUUGAGAUUUGGAUAACGAGAAAAGGAGAGACUGGGGAGUGGGAACUAUGUAGUGGAAUGUCAGGGGACUCGGAUAAGGAGACAGUAAAUUUUUUAACUUUUGCAAGUUAAAACUCAAAAUCAAUUAACGAGAACAAAAACGUACAAAAUAACAUCAAUUUAAUCUCAUGUCACCUCACCUUCCACCUUUUUUUAUGUUAGUAACAAGUUCUAGAAAUAAUAUCCUAAUAUCCCACCAAGCAAGACAUGCAUUUCAAGUUCUCUUUGAGUCUUUGUCGUCUCUCUUUGUAGUUAACAAAUAGUUAGUCUAAAACACAAUAUUUCUCUCUCUAUAUAAGUAUUCCUAUCUUUUAUUUUGCUCAUUUGAUUCCUCGCCAUCUACCUCUGUCUUUCCAUGGUUUUGAUUUUCCGAUCAUGCCUUCUCGCCCUAAAAUACAGUAUAAGAAUUUCUCAUACCCAAGAUCCUCUAAUGCUGGUGUUAGUCUACUAAGAUUGAAAAUUUGAGAUUUGGGCAACCGGGAAAGGGGAGACUGGGGAGUGGGGACUAUGUAGUGGAGUGUCAGGGGACUCGGACAGGGAGACAGUAAAUUUUUAACUUUUGCGGGUUAAAACUCGAAAUCGGUCAAACUCGGUCAAACUCGUAAAAUCAGUUCGAUUUUACCGAUUUUAACCGAUUUUGAUCGAUUUCGAGUUUUAACCCGAUUUGACACGUUAUAUACAUGUUGACUCGUAAAAUCAUAAGAUUUUAAGAGUCAACUCGUGAUUUUAAUAACCUUAGAAACAACAACGUUUCCAUUGUUUAAUUUGUUUUUCUGAGUAUCUUUGUUUUUGUGAUAGCUCUUGUGGUGAUAAAGAUUAAAAAAGAUAGUUUAGAUAAAUUAUUUUUACUCGUGAUUUGUUUGAUUUAAAUAAGUAUUUAAUUAAAAUUAUAAUUAAAAAUGUUUAGGUAAAAUUAUGAUUAAAAUGGAUGUUUUAACUUAAAUUACCACAAAAAUACUGCUGAAGGUGGAGAGGAUGUGAGAUGCGAUUGGGUAUCUUAUUUAAUUGUCAAAACAUCAACUGUUGUGGUCAAUAAAGCAAGGACAACCCGAGUAAAAUGUGGGACCUAACUCAAUUUUCCUGGCACACGCAACUCACGCAUACACCCAAACACGCUAUAACACUAAUGUGAGAUGUUUUUUGAACUUCGGAGUUUACAGGCAAAUAAAGUGAUGGAAGAAGGUCUUCUUCUGCAUCAUCACAUCACGUGAAAAGCUUGGCAUUUAAUGAAGUUUUUCCAAUCAAACCCAUUCCUUUCAAAGAUGGAAUUUCUAGUAAAAUGGAGUCCAGAGCAUAACAAGGGCCGAGAGAGAAAAGGCUUUUGCGAGUUCUGUGUUCUGUAUAUUUCUCAAGGGGAAAAAAGGAAGACGAAGAAAGGAAUAUCAUAUUUCUUGUAGGAGUAUGGUUAGCACGAACUAUAAGAGAUGUACAUGAGAGAAAAGAAAAGGGAAGGCCUAUCGACUCUCUUUUUUUCUAUAUUCACAGGUAGUACGGAUCGCUUACCAUGACUAAUCCAACAUCAAGCCUUAUCGUUCAUGAACUGUGCCUAGACUUCUUUAAUCAUUUACAUAUAUAAAUUUGGUUAAUCAAGUUGGAGAAGAUCGUGUCAAGAACCAUGCUGUGUAUGUUUGAUAAUGCAGUGAAUAUAAUUUUACAAGAAUAUUUUUCAAUUAAUAAAAUAUUUCUUAAAGAAAUUUUCAAUAAUCUUGUUAAGAAAUUUGGGUGGCCAGACAUUUUAAAGAAUGAUGCUAGUUUCUGGCCACAAGAGGUCAUGCUAGUCACUUUUUGAUCAUGUCUGUGAUCUUUUUGAAUGCUCUGUUCUCCAUCAAAGCUAAUGGAAAUGUGUAUAAAUUAUCAUUUUAUCUUUAUGAAGCAUAUUGUCAGAUCACUGACCUGCUGGUGAACAUUACCAUGCAUGUUCUGCAGCCGAAGAUUUCAAAGAAGAAAACAUAAUGAUUUUGGUGAAUUGUGUUCGAACUCUUUGCAUUUCACCAUCCUCUACCUUUUAUCAUUUUGAGCGUAGUUGCCACCCACCUUUCUGUGGCUCCAUCAUGUUCCCGCUCCAAACCAUUCAUAUAGGUUAUCUUAAAUAGUUUAGCCUGAGCUUUACCGGUUAUGCUUUUUAAUAUAUUUUAAUUUAAGUAAAAUAUAUUUUUUAAAAAUAUUAAAAAAAAACAUACCAUUAAUGUACUCUCAAAAACAUAAUCCAAUUGCAUCUCACGCUUUAAAUUCCAACGAUGAGUACCCAAUUAAACAAUAUCUACAUUGAAUUAAAACUUAUAGUAUAAUUACCUGACAGCGAAAUAAAGAAAAGUAGGAACCCUGCAUUUGGGAAAUUUCUAUAAGGCCUCCAAUCUGAGGCUGUAACGAGCCCUGGAUCCACACAGAAGAAAUUUCGAGGGAAAUGGGUUGAUGUCAGAGGGAGACAAGGAAGCGUACUUUCAGGAGACCAUGACACAAAUCAACGGCUGAAAUCCAAUCACUCAAGGGAUGGUGACACGUUGCCAUAAGUGGGAGGCAGCUGGUCUCCAGCACGAAGAGAAACAGCAGCGUUUUCAUCGUUUAAAAUGAAGUGUUUGUUUUUCUGAGUGUCUUUGUUCUCGUGAUAGCUCGUGGUGGUAGUGGAUAUUUAAAGAUGAUUGAGUAUCUUAAUAAUUGCAAAAACAAUUGAUUUUUUUUUUUUAUGAUUGACACACAAAACCCUAUUUUCAUAGUUAUGUUAAUUGAAGGAUAAUAAAUGGAAGAAUGACAAAUUGCCAGGUGGAAAGUUAUAGCUCAUCACAACAAAUACUUUCCAGCAAAUUGAUUAAUGGCUGUUACAACUAAUUACAACGAAUACUCUUCAUUUCUUCUCUAUAGUUAUGUUAAUGGUAAAAAAAAGUUGGAAAUUAUAAUUUUGAAAAAUAAAUUAAAAGAUAAGUGAUGAUCAAAUUAGAACUUGAUAUUUGAUAUAAAAUAUAAUUUUUUUUAAUUAAAUCCUAACAACAAAUCACAAAUCAGUUUCAAAUUAGUGAAUGUUGCCGAAGAGAAUGGCAAAAAAGAAGAAAAUUAUAUUUUAAGAAAGUCAUGGAGCCGUAUAUUUUUAUUAGAAAAGAAAAAACAUUAGAAUUGAUUGUUAUAUUUCUUGAAACAAAUAAAAAGAAACAAAAAACAAAAUAUAAAUCAUGGAUGAAUUAAAUCCUCUUGAAGACCUGCUUCAAAUAAGAAAGAGGUAAAUACUAUUGGAAUUUAAUUGAUAUACGUUUCUUGCAUGUUGUUUCAAGUUGCAUAAAUACAAGCAAAAUACAUUUAUACAUAUUAUAUUACAAUUGAUAUAUUUUUGGUGCAGAACUGAUAUUAUCUUUUGAAAUUAAAUCCGGUUCAAGGAUGGAGCAUAAAAAAAUUUGAAUUAUUGAGUCAUUUAAUUAAUCAGCAAGGAUUAGGGGAUGAUAAAAAAAUCAAAACACCGAUUAAACUGAGAAAACUGGAAAAAAAAUAAUUCAAAAAACUAAACCUUAAAAAAACCCGAUUAGAAUAUUUAAAAAACUGGCCAAUUCGGUUUGGUUUUGGUUUUAUAAGCCUGAAACUGAAAAACAAAACCGAACCAAAAUUAAUAACCGAGCCAAACCCGAAAAAACCAAGCUAAACAGAAAAAAACGAGCCAAACAGCAAAAAAACGAGCCAAUCGGUUAGGUUUUGGUUUUUACUCUAAAAUAACCAAACCGAACCGAAACCGGUCGGUUUGAACCGAUUUUGAUUUUUUUGUUUGUUUUGAUUUUUAAAUUUGGUUUGGUUAUUAUUUUAAGGAAAAACCAAACUGAAUAAAAAAUAAUCAUCUCUAGUAGGGAUCAUCGAUGAAUCAUUUUAUUAAAAUAAUAUUUUUUUAAAAAAAUAUUUGAUAUUAUUUUAACUAAAUUUGUAUCAAGUUUUAUUAAAUAAAAUAAAUUAUUAAAAAACCAAUCGAGAUAAUAAAAUUCAUAUCAACAUUUUUUCUAAUUCAAUUUUAAAAUUGUCUAUGUCAAGAUCUGGAGGAUGUGCUUUCUACAUCAAAUCAGUAUGCAGGAUGGAGUUUCAAAACUAUAUUAUAUAUAAAAAAAGAUUUUGAAAUAAAAUGAUCCAUUUAUAUAUAUAAAAACAAAAACCUCGAGGUCUCGGGUCCACCGGUGGAAGCAUGAAUGGCGGUCUUCUUCUGCAUUAUUAGCACAUGUGAAAAGAAAGAUUAUAUUUUCCUGUGCAUAUAAUAAUGUUAUACCAAUCAAACCCUCCUUUUCCUGUGCAUAUUUUCCUGUGCACAUAAGUGUGCUUGUAACGUUUUUUUAUUAAGAAAUGUAUUAAAAUAUUAUUUUUUUAUUUUUUAAAAAUUAUUUCCAUAUUAACAUAUGAAAAUACAUAAAAAAAAAUUAAUUUAAAAUAAAAUUUUUUAAUACAUUUCUUAAUAAAAUAAUAUUUUAAAAACUGAGUUCACAUUGCAGAAAGCCUUGGCAGUUGGCACAAGUGGAAGGCAACCUAGAAACAGGUUUAUUUCAACAAUCCAUGUACUGACAUCUGUGUUUGUGGAAACAAAGUUGAAAAGGGCUACAUUUUCCUGUGAUGUGAUAUUGAUUCAGAGAUUUGUAGAAUAAGACGUGGUGCAGAACUGUAGAAGAUAAGGUACAAGACUAUGAAAGUCCUCAGGAAAACUGUAGAAUUGCACAGUUUGAGUGAGAAGUAUUAGACACCGCACUAGCCGCUGCUGUUUUUGGUAUUGUAAUACAUUCCGUAAUCUGAAAAAAAUUAUUUUAUAAAAAAUAUUUUUAGUUGAAAUUUAUUUAAAAAAAAUAUAUAUUUAAUUAAAAUUAUGAUUAAAAUUAAAGUUGAAUGAAAAAUAGCUUAAUAUAUUUAGUUAAAUUUUUUUUUAAAUUAAAGUUAUAUAUAUAGUUUUAAAUUUAAAUAUUAUAGAUUUAAGUAUUGUUAUUACAUCAUGAAAUAAAUAAUAUUGAUAUCAAAUAUUUUUUAUUAUUUUAUUAAACUAUGUGCAAUUUCAUCACGUUCGAAAUCUAUCCGGCAAGGACUACAUUUUCCAUUGUUUAUUAAGCGCGCAACAACAUCAGGUAAAAAUAUUAUUAAGAACAAAAUUUGAAUUGCAAUCAAAUUCUGCAAAUAUUAUGUCAUCAAACGAUCUCCUUCUAAUUUUUUAAAUAAAACACAAAUAAAAAUAAAAAUAAAAACUGAAUUUUUUAAUCUGGGUCGGACCCGGCAAUAACAAAAUUGGAAUUGCGAUCAAAUUCUGCAAAUACUACGUCAUCAAGCAAUCUCCUUCUAAUUUUUUUAAUAAAACACAAUUAAAAAAUAAAAAUUAAAUAUUUUUUUAACCGAAUCCAACCCGGUUCAAUAUAUUUAGCUUUGGACCGAACCUGGUCGAUCCGAAACAAUAACAGUAAUAGUGGAGAGUGAACUCCAGUGGAGUUCACUCUCCACUGCGUAGAGAAGCAGCUUUUGAUCAACCUGCGGUGCAACCUUAAUAAAAUGAUGGGUCCUAUCAAAAGAAGUUGUGUUUUUUACUUAACCAAACAAGAAAAAUUGUGGUUGCAGGUGAACUUUACCUGCGACCACAAUACCAAACAACUAUAAAAAAAAAUUAUUUGAUAUUAUAGUUGAAAAUGUGUUUUGUUCCAACCACAAAAAAAAAAUAAUGGUUCGGUAACCAUUUGAAACGUAAAUUUUGAAGAUGGGUCUCACUAAAAAUUAAGUUUACACAACCGGUUUUGUGAAGCAGAAAAUUACUGCUUUUCAAUUUACUUUUGCCCGCUGCUGCCAAGGGAAAGGAAAAAGGGCCCACCCAAUUUCUUAUUUGCUUCUUUUCUUCUCAGCUCAAGUAAGAGUAUUUCUUUUACUAUCAUCAUUUGUGCACUGCCAAGUGGAUUUAUCCGGCACUGUUCACGUAAACAGUACCCCUACUAUGAACAGUGUUUAUUGAACUGCGUCCAACUCAAAAAAAUUUAAUUUUUUUAAAAUUAUAUUUAUUUAAAAAAUUAAUGUUUAAUAUUAUUUAAUAACACUAUAUAAAUUAGAAAGAGAUUCUAUAAUAAUAUAGCAUUUGUGAAAUUUGAUCGCAAUUCUAAUAUUAUAAUCUUAAUUUGAAAAGUAUCUUUAAUCAAACACAUUAAACUACUUUUUAUUCGAUCUUAAUUUCAACCACAGUUUUAACCAAACAUAUAUAAAUAUGAAACCAAUCUAAACAGUUAAAUAAAUACUAAAAGACAUAAAUUGAAGUUUUUAUAAUAUUCAUAGCAAUGUUCAUCAGCUCAUUUAUAAUUCAUAAUUUAUUUAUCAAUGAAUGAAAAGUAAUAAAAGAAAAAGGAGAGAAGAAAUAAAGUGAAGUCUUCUUCUGCAUUAUUAGCACAUCACGUGAAAAGAAAGAUUGGCAUUUAAUAAAAGUUAUUCCAAUCAAAUAAAGCAAGGACAAACCAAGUUACUCCAUUUUCCUCUCACUUUUUCAACCGAUGGGGUGUCUUGGCAAAUAAAGCAAGGACAGACCGAGUUGACGCGCUCCCUAACUCCAUUUUCCUGGCCCGCGCAAUUCACGCAUACACAAACACAUCCGAACAAUAUUCAUAAAAUUAAUUAACAUCCCGUAAAAAUAUACUUUAAUUUAGAAAAGAUUUUAAAAUGUUAUUUUUUUAAUUUAAUAAUAACAAAGUUUUAUAUUAAAUUGUUUCAACUAAGUUAACAGGUUAGAUUUAUAAUUCGGGUUAUGAAAUUAUAAUACCUAGUUCCCAAAUAAACAAAUAUGGUGAAGUUUUUCCAAUCAAACCCCCUUUUUUUUUAGAUGUAAUUUCUAGAAAAAUAAAUCAAAGAUAAACAGACUAAAAUUUCAAAAUAAAAGAGAAAGAUGGAAUAUCCCACCAAUAUUUAACCCACUUAAAUUGAGCAUAUAAAAGAGUGUUAAAUGAAAAGUUAAAAAUUAAAAAAUAUUAUUUUGACUCUUUCAACUUUAUUUUAUACACCUCAAAAAAAUAUUAAAUAAAAUGUCAAAAUAUCUUUUCUUUCUUAUAAAUACUAUUUCUACAUGUCUAUUAAAAAAACCAAUACUAAAAAAGUGGAGCCAUCAAAAAAAUAAAUCAAUUAAAUAUAAUCAUUAAAAAAAAUAACAUCAAACUCAUUAAAAAAAAUAAAACACUUAUUUCUCUCACUCCAAUACAAUUAGCUUUUCAAAUAGUUUUUUCCAUUAAAAUAUAUAUAAUAAAAAAAAUUAUAUUUAUAUUAUUCAAAAUACUAUUUUAUCAAUUUAGCUAUUCAAAACAUUGUUAUUAAACCCAGACCGGCCCGACAAAUCGACCGGGUGGCUAGACCGGUUCGGGUUUGUCAAAAGACCGGUCAGUGCAACAACCCGGCAAAACUCAGUUGACCCGAUGAGUUGACCCAUGACCUGGGCGAACCCGGACGAGACCAGUUUUUGUUUUUUAAAUGUGGUUUUUCUCCUAUACCCUUCUUUUUUCAUUUUUUUUUUAGUUGGUUAUUAACACUUUUUAAAGUUUACUAUAUAAAUAUUAUAAAAAUAUUUUAUUUUUUCAAUGUAGGAUUUGAAACCCUUUAGUAUAUAUACUAUAUUUUUUCAAGAAAAAAAUUAUUUUUUCAAUGUGAGAUUUGAAACCUUUUGUAGAUAUAUUUUAUGUUCACAAGAAAAAAAUUAUUUUUUUUCAAAGUGUGAUUUGAAACCUUUCAGUUUAUAUACUGUAUGUUUCAAAGAAAAAAAUUAUUUUUUCAAGAUGAGAUUUGAAAUCCUUUAGUAUAUAUACUAUGUGUUUUUAGAUUAUUUAGAUGUGCUGAUAUCAAAAAUAAUUCUUAAAAAAUAAAAAAAUAUUAUUCAACCAACUUGGGUUAACCCAUUAAGCAUUAUUCUCGUAUCAUGGUUCAGAAUAACCUAAUAGAAAAUAAAUAAAACAAAUCAUGAAGUGUGAACCCCGGUUGAAAAUUAGGCAGAAAAGUAAUCUAAAUGUUUAUACAAUAAAUUUAACAGAAGUACCAAAUAAGCAUUAGAACAAACCAAAUACAGACAAAAGAAAAUAUAUACGUAAAUAUGAAUAAAAUAUUGUUGGGAGUGAGUUACCUGGAAAUAAAAUUAUCAAUAUGUAACUAAAUAAAAUUCAAAUUCACCCAGGUAAAAUUUUUAUAUAGACAAAUGCCGGGAAUUAGGAAUUUUAUCCCGGGAACAUGAAAUUUAAUAUUUGGGAUAUAAAGGGAAUUUGGUAAAAUUUAAGAGUGCGUGUGCGCGCACUCUCGGGUAAAAAGAAAAAUGGAGAGAAAAAAAGGAGAGGGGAAACUACCAUUUACAUGUGAGAGAGAUAGAAUUGUAACAAAAACAUAAAAUCUUAAAGGAAGAUCUUGAGGGAACAUUACCCAAGCCUAGUGAGCAUUAAUUGGAAGGAAUAAAAAUCAAGUGAAGGUGAGUAUAAAAGGAGAGAGGAAGUUCAACCAAGAUUAAAGAAGAGGAGUUGAAAGCUUGAUUUAGGAAGUGUUUAGAGUUUAAUUACUUGCUUGGUAAUGCAUUCUAAGGACUUUUGAUCUGAAUUUUAAUGGCUUAAAGUUCUUAAUUGAUUGAAUUUUUAAAAUUAAAAAGUUAGGGUUCUUGAAUAAAUUAAAAGGAAAUAAAAAUUUAUUGUAAUUUGUCAUGGGGAAUAAUGUGAAAAUUAGAGUAAAGUGAUUAAAUUAUUGUAAUUGAAGUAAAGAUUUUGAUAAUUAAAUAGAGCUAGUGGCCAACCAAAUGACGAGAGAUUUUAUGGGAUUUAAUUGUUAAUAAAUGUUGUGAAUUGAUGAAUAAUGUAGUAAGUAGAACUGUUUUUUGAAUAUCUCUUUAUAACUUUUUAAAUUUCAUGGAACAUUUGUGUUGAUUAUUGAGAUGGUGUUAAAUAUUACUAUCAUGAAAAUCAAAAAAGGAAUUGAUGUCUAGAUGAGGAAUAUCAUUGAAUUGUUGGUUCUUAUUAGAUUUUGGUAUGUAAUGGAGUCAUGAGACGUUAAAAAUUCUUGAGAAAUGUUAAAUUAAUAGCUAAAAUUCAUAGAAUGGUAUAUUUUUUAGAAAUAUAGUUAACUAUGAAAUUUAUUUGAUAAAAGAAAAGCAGGAACUUAUGGUAUAUUUCCUUGACAGUGAGUACCCGAUUAAACAAUAUCUAUAUUCAAUUAAAACUUAUGGUAUAUUUCCUUGACAGCGAAACAAAGAAAAGUAGGAACCCUGUAAUAUCUAGGUAAUUUCUAUACCCUUUUAGGUUAUGUUUGUUUUUGAGAAUUCACUUUCUGGAAAAUCACUUUUCACAUUUUUCUGUAUUUAUUUGCCAUUAGAAAAGUUGGUUAACGGAAAACACUUUCCACUCAAAGAAAAAUUUGGCUUGGUUUUUAGAAAAGUGUUUUCCUAAAAAAUUUGGGCGGAAAACACUUUUCGGAAGUUGUGAAAAAUUAGAAAUGUCAUAUUAUUUGCUGUUUAUAUCAAAGUUGAUCCUCAAACUUUUAAUUGCUAUAUAUAUUUUGUUUUGGAUAUUUAUUUUUCAAUUUCAUCUCUUAAAAUUUAAUUUUUAUAUUAAUUUUGGUCCUCAUUUUUAUAAUUGUUAUUUGCUUUUCCCUUAUCAUUUUUUUAUUGAAUUUUUUUAUAUAUCAAAUUUGGUGCUCAUUCUUUUGAUUGUUACUUAUUUUAUUUGAAAUAAUUUAUGAAAUGUUAAUUAUUAUUAUUUUAAUUUCUUCAUCUUUUAUUUUUUUUAUUUUUUAGAUUUGAUCUCUAUUAUUUUGAUUAUUAUUUAUUUUAUUUGAGAUAAUUUAUGAAAUUAUAUUUUUUUUCAAUUUCAUUCUCAUUCAACUUUUUAAUUUGUAAGAUUUGUUCCUCAUUAUUUUAAUAAACUUGAGAAAAAUAAAAUAUUAAUAAGUUAUUUUUCAGUUCAUUUUCCAUGACAUAACCAAACACCGAAAAAUGUUUUCCAACUUAUUUUCCAUUACACUGUCAAAUAUAAAAAAAUAAUUCACUUUUCUGAAAUUUAUUUUUCUAAAAUUUAUAUUUUUUAAAAAAUUAUUUUUCAAUAAACAAACAGUUCUUAAUAACUACUACAAGCUGAGGCUGUAAUGAGCUCAUGACAGAGGGAGAUCUGAAAGCGUAAUUUCAGAAGACCAUGACACAAAUCAACGGCUGAAAUCCAAUCACUCAUGGGAUGGUGACAUGUCGCAUGAGUGGAGACAGCUGGACUUCAAUACGAAAAGAAACAUAGCGUUUUCAUUGUUUAAUUUGUUUUUUUGGAGUAUCUUUGUUCUCAUGAUAGUUCUUGUGGUGAUGGAGACUUAAAAAAGAUAGUUUAUAAAAAUUAUUUUCACUCGUGAUUUGUUUGUUUAAAUAAAUGUUUAACUAAAAUUAUGAUUAAAAAUGUUUAACUAAAAUUAUGAUUAAAAUGGAUGUUUUAACUUAAAUUACCACAAAAGAUACUGGUGAAGGUGGAGAGGAUGUGAGAGACGAUUGGGUAUCUUAAACAUCAACUGUUGUUGGUGGACUAAAAGCCAUCCGCUUGAUUAAUGGUAAACACUUCAGGCUCCUUUCCCGCCCUUUUCCUGGCUGGAUCCUUGAUAUCUUCAAGGGGUGCCAGCGCCUUGUUCGAGGAUUGAGCAUAAAAGACUAAAAAGAGUUAAAUAAAUACUAAAAGACAUAAAGUGAAGUUUUUUAUAAUAUUCAUAGCAAUGGUCAUCACCUCAUUUAUAAUUUAUCAAUUAAUGAAAAGUGAUAAAAGAAGAAGAGAGAAGAAAUAAAGUGAAGUCUUCUUCCGCAUUAUUAGCACAUCACGUGAAAAGAAAGAUUGGCAUAUGAUAAAAGUUAAUCCAAUCAAACCCACUUUUUCGACGAUGGGAUCUCUUGGCAAAUAAAGCAAAGGACAAACCGAGUAAAAUGUGGGACAUAACUCCAUUUUCCUGGCACACGCAACUCACGCGUACACUAACACUAAUUUGCGAUAUUUUUUUACUUGGGAGUUUACAGGCAAAUAAGGGCUUCUUCUGCAUCAUCACAUCAUUUAAUGAAGUUUUCCAGUCAAACCCACUUUUUUCAAAGAUGGAAUUUCUAGUAAAAUGGAGUCCAGAGCAUAACAAGUGCGGAGAGAGAGAAGGCUUUUGCGAGUUCUGUUUUCUGUAUAUUUCUCAAGGGGAUAAAAUAAUGUCUUGUUACAGAUUUGUUUUUGGUAGAAUUGUUAGAGAUCUUAGCCGAUGCAUCUGAAUUAUAAUUUUUAGCAAUUAUACUAUUUUAUAGCCCUAAUAUCUUAAAAAAAACUUAUUUUCUAGCUUUUUUUUAUGGUAUGAUCAAACAUUGCAUGCUUACUCUCUGGUCUAUAUGACCAUUAACAACAAUCACUCGAAACCCACAGUCAUUGCCAUACAUAUUUAACUUGAUGUUUGAGAAUGUGAUAAUGAUUGUUUUUUAAAGUGUUUUUUAUUUUAAAAUAUAUUAAAAUAAUAUUUUUUAUUUUUUAAAAAAUUAUUUUUGACAUCAACACAUUAAAAUAAUAUGAAAACAUCAAAAAUAUAUUAAUUUAAAAUGAAAAAAAUAAAAAAAAUUUAAAUUUUAGUCAAAAAUAUAUUAGUCAAUAUCUGAAUGCAUGAUUAAUUAUGCACUUUGUAACCAUAAAUCUUCCUUUAAUCAUUCCAAAUAAGAAAAAAAAUAGAAAAGAUUUUCUCUAAUCUGUAUGGUGAGUCCCAAUUAUCACUGGCUUCCAAUUUCCAUCCCGUGCUUUCUAGCUGGAUUGGGUGUUUUUUCUCUUCUUUUCUCUUUGUUGGAAUACAAUAAUGCAUCACAACGGUUAAUUCCUUAUCGGUUCGUGUUGCAGUAAUUAUGAACGAUGAGUCCAUUUGACCUUAAAAGUAAAAGUAUCUGCUGUUCAUAACGACUCACUUAAGUUUGCAAUUGAGCUAAUUGUUCUAUAAUUACUGUAGCUAUGAAAGGUGAAGCACAAUUUCAUCCAAAACAAAACUCGUUAUUUUCAAAAAGAAAAAUUACCCCAAUUUUUUUCUUAUAUUUUAGUAUUUCUUAUAUUUAAAGGCAGUAUAGUUGUAAUAUUUUCAAGUAAUCGAAACAACCACCUAUAUAUCAAUUAUAUGAUAUACUGACUUGACUUUCCAAGUGUUUUGACUUUUGAGUACUAGAAGAAGAAAAUAUACUUCUCUCUAAAAAAUAAGGAAAUUUCGGAUGUAUUUUCUUUUAACUGGCGAAAAAACAGGAAGACGAAGAAAGGAAUAUCAUAUUUCUUGUAGGAGUAUGGUUAGCACGAGCUAUAAGAGUUGUACACGAGAGAAAAGAAAAUGGAAGGCCUAUCGACUCUCUUUUUUUCUAUGUUCACAGGUAGUACGGAUCGCUUACCAUGAACAUCAAACCUAUCGUUCAUAAACUGUGCCUAGACUUCUUUAAUCAUUUACAUAUAUAAAUUUGGUUAAUCAAGCUGGAGAAGAUCGUGUCAAGAACCAUGCUGUAUUGUUUGAUAAUGCAGGGAAUAUAAUUUUACAAGAAUAUUUUUCAAUUAAUAAAAUAUUUCUUAAAGAAAUUUUCAAUAAUCUUGUUAAAUUCCAACAAUGAGUACCCGAUUAAAUAAUAUCUACAUUCAAUUAAAACUUAUGGUAUAAUUAUCUGACAGCGAAAUAAAGAAAAGUAGGAACCUUGCAUUUGAGAAAUUUCUAUUAGGCCUCCAAUCCAAGACUGUAACGAGCCCUGGAUCUACACAGAAGAAAUUUCGUGGGAAAUGGGUUGAUGUCAGAGGGAGACAAGGAAGCGUCUUUCAGAAGAACAUGACACAAAUCAACGGCUGAAAUCCAAUCACUUAAGGGAUGGUGACACGUUACCAUGAGUAAAGAUGGAGACACUCACGUUUGGGAACGCUGCUACGGCUGCGUUCUCAAAAAAUUUGAUUUUUUUUUUUUUACUAAAAUUUAAUAUGAUUUGUAUCGUUUUGAUGUGAUGAUAUCAAAAAUGAUUUUUAAAAAAUGAAAAAAUAUCAUUAACAUUCAUUUUGACACGAAAAGUAAUUUAAAAAACAUCCACAACUACACUGACAAACAUGACAAGGGAGACAGCUGGUCUCUGGUACGAAGAGAAACAGCAGCGUUUUCAUCGUUUAAAAUGGAGUGUUUGUUUUUCUGAGUGUCUUUGUCCUCGUGAUAGCUCGUGGUGGUGGAUGUUUAAAGAUGAUUGCGUAUCUUAAUAAUUGCAAAAACAAUUGAUUUUUUUUUUUUUUUUGAUGAUUGACACACAAAACCCUAUUUUCAUAGUUAUGUUAAUUGAAGGAUAAUAAAUGGUAGAAUGACAAAUUGCCAGGUGGAAAGUUAUACCUCAUCACAACAAAUACUUUCCAGCAAAUUGAUUAAUGGCUGUUACAACUAAUUACAACGAAUACUCUUCAUUUCUUCUCUAUAGUUAUGUUAAUGGUAAAAAAAAAGUUGGAAAUUAUAAUUUUGAAAAAUAAAUUAAAAGAUAAGUGAUGAUCAAAUUAGAACUUGAUAUUUGAUAUAAAAUAUAAUUUUUUUUAAUUAAAUCCUAACAACAAAUCACAAAUCAGUUUCAAAUUAGUGAAUGUUGCCGAAGAGAAUGGCAAAAAAGAAGAAAAUUAUAUUUUAAGAAAGUCAUGGAGCCGUAUAUUUUUAUUAUAAAAGAAUCAAUAGAGAAAAGAAAAAACAUUAGAAUUGAUUGUUAUAUUUCUUGAAACAAAUAAAAAGAAACAAAAAACAAAAUAUAAAUCAUGGAUGAAUUAAAUCCUCUUGAAGACCUGCUUCAAAGUAAGAAAGAGGUAAAUACUAUUGGAAUUUAAUUGAUAUACGUUUCUUGCAUGUUGUUUCAAGUUGCAUAAAUACAAGCAAAAUACAUUUAUACAUAUUAUAUUACAAUUGAUAUAUUUUUUUGGUGCAGAACUGAUAUUAUCUUUUGAAAUUAAAUCCGGUUCAAGGAUGGAGCAUAAAAAAAUUUGAAUUAUUGAGUCAUUUAAUUAAUCAGCAAGGAUUAGGGGAUGAUAAAAAAACCAAAACACCGAUUAAACUGAGAAAACUGGAAAAAAAAUAAUUCAAAAAACUAAACCUUAAAAAACCCCGAUUAGAAUAUUUAAAAAACUGGUCAGUUUGGUUUAGUUUUGGUUUUAUAAGCCUGAAACUGAAAAACAAAACCGAACCAAAAUUAAUAACCGAGCCAAACCCGAAAAACCAAGCUAAACAGAAAAAACGAGCCAAACAGCAAAAAAACCGAGCCAAUCGGUUAGGUUUUGGUUUUUGCUCUAAAAUAACCAAACUGAAUCGAAACCGGUCGGUUUGAACCGAUUUUGAUUUUUUUGUUUGUUUUGAUUUUUAAAUUUGGUUUGGUUAUUUUUUUAAAGAAAAACCAAACUGAAUAAAAAAUAAUCAUCUCUAGUAGGGAUCACCGAUGAAUUAUUUUAUUAAAAUAAUUUUUUUUGAAAAAUAUUUGAUAUUAUUUUAACUAAAUUUGUAUCAAGUUUUAUUAAAUAAAAUAAAUUAUUAAAAAACCAAUCGAGAUAAUAAAAUUUUAUCAUAUCAACAUUUUUUCUAAUUCAAUUUUAAAAUUGUCUAUGUCAAGAUCUGGAGGAUGUGCUUUCUACAUCAAAUCAGUAUGCAGGAUGGAGUUUCAAAACUAUAUUAUAUAUAAAAAAAGAUUUUGAAAUAAAAUGAUCCAUUUAUAUAUAUAAAAACAAAAACCUCGAGGUCUAGGGUCCACCGGUGGAGGCAUGAAUGGCGGUCUUCUUCUGCAUUAUUAGCACAUGUGAAAAGAAAGAUUAUAUUUUCCUGGGCAUAUAAUAAAGUUAUUCCAAUCAAACCCUCUUUUUCAACCGAUGGGGUCUCUUGGCAAAUAAAGCAAGGACAGACUGAGAAAGAUAUCCAGAACAAUAUUCAUAACAAUAUUUAUAAAAUAAUAUAUAUAAUCUUUCUCAACCGAUCGGCAACUCACGCAUACAUAAACAUAUCCAGAACAAUAUUCAUAAAAUUAAUUAAUAUCCCAUAAAAAUAUAAUUUAAUUAAAAAAAAAAAUUAAAAUGAUACUUUUAAUAUAAAAAUAACAAAGUAUUAGAUUAAAAUGACUUGUUAUCAAGUAAUCAAAUAUUAACAUGAUCAUAAGAUUGAGAUAACUUCAUAUAAAAUAAAAUAAAAAUAAAUUAUAAAGUUCAAUUUAUAAUUAAUUUAAUAUUAAAGGAUGAGAUUAAAAAAAUUAAUUUAAAAAAAACAUAAAAAUAAUCCAAGUCAAUCUGUUAAACCCAUAAUUCGUCAUGAAACAAAUAUAACCUCAUAGAAAAAAAUAAAAAAAUAACUUGAUUUAAUUCGCUAAAUCCGCAAUUCUGAUAACGAGAACGAGAAAAUCUCAUAAAGAGCAAGUCAAAAUAUAUUAUAAAGUUUAAUUCUCAGUCGAUCAAAUAUUGAAUGAUAAAGAUGGAAAAAAAUUCAAUUAUAAAAACACAAAAAAACAACCUGAAUUAACUCAGGUUAACCCAUUAAGUAUUAUUCUCAGGUCAUGUGGUCAGAAUAACCUAAUAGAAAAUAAACAAAAUAAAAUUUAUAACUUAAUUUUCAAUUAACCUAAUAUUAAAAGAUGAAAUUAUAAAAAAAAAAUUAAAAAAAUCAAGCCAACUAAAUUAACCUAUCAAAACUAUAAUAAUAAUUAUUAUAAAAGUGAGAUAACAUACAAAAGACAAAUUUAAUAAUAAAAAAAAACACAUUGAUUAAAAGAAAAGGCAAAGCACUUAUUCAAAUAACUGUAUAAAAUAUAGUAAUAUAAUGUAUAAUGUAUAAUUUAUUUUUUUAAUUUAUAACUGAAAGUGAGAAAAGGAAGAAGAGAAAAGAAAUAAAGUGAAGUCUUGUGCUGCAAGAUCACCUCACCUGAAAAGUUUGGCAUUUAGUGAAGUUUUUCCAAAUCAAACCCACUUUUUCAAAGAUGGAAUUUCCAAGUAAAUAAAUCGAAGACAAACCUAGUAAAAUGGAGUCUAGAGCAUAACAAGUAGUUACAAAGCCGAGAAAGAAAAAGCUUUUGCGAGUUCUUUACACAAACUCUUACUUCUUAUGUAACCUGAACAAAAAUCCCUCUUCUUCUUCUUCUUCUUCUUCUUCUUUGUUUACUCUUCCUUCGUUACUUUGCAAAGAGGAUAAACCAUGGCUGAGGCUUUAGUAGGAGGAGCUUUUCUUUCUGCUUUCCUUAAUGUUUUGCUUGACAGGAUGGCUUCUCGCCAGGUGGUGAACUUCUUCAGUGGCCAAAAAAUCAACAAUAGCCUGCUGGAGAGGUUGGAGACAGCAAUGAGAUCUGCCAGUCGGGUGCUUGACGAUGCCGAGGAGAAGCAGAUAACAAGUACAGAUGUGUGGGAUUGGCUGGCCGAGAUUAAAGACGCUGUCUAUAAAGCCGACGACUUCUUGGAUGCGAUUGCUUAUAAAGCUCUACGACAGGAGUUGAAAGCUGAAGAUCAAACCUUCACAUGUCAUAUGCAGAGAUUUCUUUCUUUCUUUAACCUAUGUAAAAAUGGGCUGGGAGAGAUCGAAGAAGAAUUAAAAGUCCUCUUGCAGGAUCUAGAUCGCUUAGUUGAUCGAACGGUUGCCCUUGGUUUGAUCACCCGCACUGGAAAAGAACCAUCAUCGCCUAAAACACCCGGAGAAACUUCUCUGGUGGAUGAACGUGGUGUUUAUGGUAGAGAUAAUGACGAGAAAGCAAUACUGAAGUUACUUCUAUCAGACGAUGCAAAUGGACAAAGCCUAGGUGUUGUUCGCAUAGUGGGCAUGGGCGGGGUUGGUAAAACCACGCUUGCUCAGAUUGUAUACAAUAACAGCGAAGUACAGAGGUGCUUCAAUCUCAAAGCUUGGGUUUGUGUUUCAGAAGAUUUCAGUGUUUCAAAGCUAACCAAGGUUAUCCUUGAGGAGGUCGGUUCAAAGCCUGAUUUUGAGAGUCUGAAUCUGCUCCAGAUUCAGUUGAAGGAGAGGUUGCUGGAAAAGAAAUUUUUGCUUGUUUUAGAUGAUGUAUGGGAAGAAAAUUAUGCUAAAUGGGUCAGUUUGCUUGAACCCUUGAAGUCUGGAGCACAAGGGAGUAAGAUUCUUGUUACAACACGCCAUGAAAGGGUAGCAUCAGUCAUGCCAACUGUUCCAACUCAUCAUCUAAAAGAAUUGACGGAAGACUUCUGUUGGUCCUUGUUUGCCAAACAUGCAUUCGGUGAUGAAAAUUCCAUUGCGGAUGAAGAGUUGCAAAAAAUUGGUAGAGCAAUAGCGAAAAAGUGUAAAGGCCUGCCUCUAGCUGCAAAAUCACUCGGAGGUCUGCUAUGCAACGAAAGAGAUGUCGAGGAGUGGCGGGAUAUUUUGGAAAGCAAUCUAUGGGAUUUACCCAAAGACAAUAUCCUCCCAGCUUUGAGAUUAAGUUAUCAUCAUCUCCCGUCGCAUCUGAAGCAAUGUUUUGCUUAUUGUGCCAUAUUUCCAAAAGACUAUUCAUUUGGAAAGGAUGAAUUAGUGCUCCUUUGGAUGGCAGAGGGCUUCUUGGUCCACUCUGCAGUAGAGAUGGAAAAAGCAGGAGCUAAGUGCUUUGAUGAUCUCUUGUCAAGGUCGUUUUUCCAGCAAUCAAGUGCCUCUCGCCCCUCAUUUCUGAUGCACGAUCUCAUGCAUGACUUGGCUACCCAUGUGUCCGGUCAAUUUUGCUUCAGCUCCAGGUUGGGGGAAAAUAAUUCUUCCAAGGCCACCAGAAGGACUCGACAUUUAUCACUCGUAGUAGAUACGGAAGACGGAGAUACUGAAGGUGUUUUUUCAAGCACAAAAUUAGAAAACAUCCGUAAAGCCCAACAUCUACGCACAUUCCGAACUUUUCCACACAAUCGGAUGUGUCCUCCUGAAUUUUAUAAGGAGAUCUUUCGGUCAACACAUUGUCGCCUACGAGUGCUAUUCAUGACUAAUUGUCAAGAUGCAUCUAUGUUGUCAUGUUCAACUAGCAAGUUGAAGCAUUUGCGGUAUUUGGAUCUUUCCGGGUCAGAUUUAGUAACGUUGCCUGAAGAAGUGAGUGCUCUUCUCAAUUUGCAAACGUUGAUCUUGGAAAGUUGCCACCUACUUGCUAGUCUACCUGAUCUUGGAAAUUUGAAGCAUUUACGACAUCUGAAUCUUCAACGUACAAGAAUCGAAAGGUUGCCUGCAUCUCUGGAAAGGUUAAUCAACUUGCGGUAUCUUAACAUCUCAGACCACACCUUUGAAGGAGAUGCCACCACAUAUAGGUCAACUGACAAAGCUCCAAACGUUAACUGCCUUUAUCGUUGGAAGACAGAGUGAGUCUAGCUUUAAAGAAUUGGGAAAGCUAAGACAUCUACGGGGAGAACUUCAUAUUCGGAACCUUCAAAAUGUGGUGGAUGCUCGGGAUGCUGUUGGAGCAAAUUUGAAAGGUAGAAAACACCUUGUAAGCUUGAGGUUUACAUGGGAUGGUGACACUCAUGACCCGCAACACGUAACAAGCACACUUGAGAAAUUAGAGCCAAAUAGAAAUGUGAAGGAUCUUCAGAUUGAUGGUUAUGGAGGUUUAAGGUUUCCGGAGUGGGUAGGAGAGUCCUCUUUCUCAAAUAUAGUGUCCUUGAAGCUCAGUAGAUGUAAAAACUGCACCUCCUUACCACCGCUCGGGCAAUUAACUUCUUUAAAGGAUCUCACAAUUGAAGCAUUCGAUAAAGUUGAGACUGUGGACUCUGAGUUCUAUGGGAAUUGUACUGCUAUGAAGAAGCCAUUUGAAUCCCUCAAAACAUUACGGUUUGAAGGGAUGCCAGAAUGGCGCGAGUGGAUUUCAGACGAAGGCAGCCGGGAAGCCUUCCCUCUUCUUGAGUUUCUUUCAAUCAAAGAAUGCCCCAACCUUACAAAGGCCCUACCUGGUCACAACCUUCCACGUGUAACAAGACUUAAAAUUAAAGGAUGUGAGCAGCUCGCGACUCCACUUCCUAGGAUUCCUAGGCUGCACUCUCUCUCUGUUUCUGGAUUCCACUCCCUAGCGUCCCUACCCGAGGAAAUUGAGCAAAUGGGUUGGUCACCCUCUGAUUUAGGAAAAAUUAAUAUCAAGGGCUGGGCUUCUCUCAAAUGCAUCUCACUGGACUUGUUCCCCAAGCUAACUACUCUUUCUAUCUCUGACUGUCCAGAUCUCGAAUCACUAUGUGCACAUGAAAGACCCCUCAAUGAUCUCAC